rnacentral:lncRNA from 1 species
CAUCUAUUUGUCUUCUCAUGAGUUAAUGCUAUAAAUUUUCACCAUUGUUCCUAAAGCAUGUGACAAAGAACUUAGUGAUUGAUAUCGGAGGUCCAAAGUUCAAAUCCUAGUUGAUUUAUAUUUUCAGUUAAAUUUAUUUUUAAAUAAAAUAAACGAAGAGCAUAGCGUGCUUGAAGUUUUCUUCUAUAAAAAAUUCCAAAAAAAAAUAAAGUCGACCAUAUGUUGUGAAAAUAAGAAAAGUUCUAAGAAAGAAUAAAGUCGUACAUAUCUAUGAUUUAAUACAACAAUAUUUAAAGCUGGAUAAUAUUAAGACCUCGUUUGGAUGUCGAAAUAAGUUUGUCCAAUAAUAAUUUAUUCGGUGUGAAGUUUUUUUUGUAUAUAUCUGUGGAAAGUAGAUGUUAAUUUUUUUGCUUUUUAAAAGGUCUUAACAUUCAUUAUAGAAUUGUAUUAUACUGUGUAAUUUAUUAUAUUUCAAAAAUAUGAUUUUAAAGUCGAAUAUGAUUUUUUUCAUUUUAAGUGUCGACACACUCCUCAUUUUUAAUUAUAAUAAAAAAAUUAUACUAAACAAAUAUCACUGAAUAAUAUAAAUUUCCAAACAAAGCUUAAAGAUAUCCCUAUCGCACCUAGCCCUUAUUCCAGAAUCAUAUCAAUCAAUUCCUAUUUAUUUAUUCAUUUUAAUUUGCUAUCCAUCAAUCAUCAAUCGAAUUCUUCAGAAGCACUAUCGGAAGCUUCAAAAGUGGUAUCUCUCAACAAGGUGGGAGAAGACCAACAAAUUAAUGUGCUCAGCCCAAUUCGAGAUUAAGACGUUAUUCACGUAUAGCAUAUAUAUCUUUUUAAAGCAAUGCUAUAGGUACAGAGUAGAGUGUAUAUUUAUACACCUACUUAAUUCUAAAGUUAUUCUUUAUUAUAUCAAUUUUUUAAAAUUUUACUAAAAAUUAAUACGAUUUUUAUGAAUUCUAAAAUUGCGGGUGUAAAAUGCACACUCCUUUUUGGGGUGUACAAGAAGCAUUUUUCUUUUUAAAUAUACACGCAUGUAUUAGUCCACUCACUAAGUUUGGUUAAACUAUUAACCCGUGUCUGAAAAUAGUGAACAAUAGCCUGGCUAUUAUCCUUUUUCAAAGUUUGGAGGAAGCGGGGAGAAAUUCUAUCAAAGGGAGGCUGUACAUAAAAACUAACAAAUGUGCAAAUCAAUUGUUUGUUUUGAUCUCCAAUCGAUCAGAAUCGACAAGGUUAGGCUGCUAAAGAAUGGCUUAAUUAAUUAAUUAACUUGCAUCUGCAGAUAUUCGGGUCAGAUAUUUUAAUUUUAAGUAGUCAACGAAGCAACCGUGCAGUUACUAGCAGUAGACUAGUUAAGCAGGGGGCUAUAAAAUGUAAAUUCAAGUGAAUGAUAAUGAAUCUAAAUUAUCUACCAAAGAUUGAAAAUUUUACUAAAGAUUGAUAAUGGAUUGUCACUCAGCAACCACAUUCAAGUCUGGCAGCUAAAAGAGUGAUAGAACAACAGCUAGCCUCAGACAGGAUUAAGUCCGCAUCAAUAUAAUGCAAGCAUUGCUAUGCUAGAGGAUCACUUCUUAGUUUCAUGGACACAAGAGGUUGGAUGGUAUGACCCUCAACCUACUAUGUAUGGUACACAUAAUUAAAUGCUCACUUUAAAAAAGAGAGAGAGUGUGUGUGUGAGAGAGAGAGAGAGAGAGAGAGAGAGAGAGAUGUGUGGCACUUCACCCACUCGAGAAGUGACUCCUACGAUCAGUUGAGAAAAAGCACUCCUGGGUCCUGGCACUACUCUAUCUCCCGUUUGACUCAGGUCCAUGAUCUCUCCACCACCACCACCACCACCACGUCCUCUCCCUCCGCUACAUCACCAUCCCCACUCCACCUCCACCUCCACCUCCACCUCCACUAUGGAUUGCAAUAUGCCUCUGGGCCACCACCACCACCACCACCACCACCAACACCACUUCUCAAUCCUUAAUUUGAUAGCUCAAGAAAAACCCAUCAUUCCAUUCCCACCCAACCCAACCCAACCCAACCCUGAGAUAAACACGUCCGUACGUGGUGAGACCACCACGCACCCAAAGCACCGCAAAAUAAAAAACGAAGAAGAAAAACAAAAAAAAUUGAAGUGAGACUCAAGCAAUAGUAGAAGAUCAGCGAGAGAGUAUAGAAAAAGGUGCUCUCUAGUCUCACGCAAAAGUGAAUAUUGGUGGGCUACAUUUUCCUGAUAGCUACUUCGUGCUUCCCGGUUCCCGCUCGAGCGUUACAUUUUGUUUUUUUGUUUUUUGUUUUUUUUUUUUUUCUGGUCAUUCGAUUAUUCUUAUUUGUUUUUAUAUAAUAAUAUCUUCACUCUCGUGGAACCCAGCGCGAGGGGUAACGCACGAGAAGGGGUCGAUUCUCGUCGAACUUUCCACCUAAUUUUUACAGUUAUCUUUAUCUUAUCUCAUUUGUGUGGCGCAACCAAAAUAGUAAUAAGGUAAAAAAAAAGAAAAAAAAAAUCAAAUAACCCUUCAAUAAAUUAAUUAAGCUAAAGUAUUCUAGCAAAUUUAAUACUUUUAUUAUUAAUUACUAGUUAUCAUUUGUUGGCAAUAAAUUAAAUUAAAUUAAAUUAAAUUAAAUUAUUUAUUUAUUAGGGAGUAAUUAUUAUAACUAUUAAAUUUGAUAAAAUUACUUUUAAAUGUAAUAAAAUUUUGGAUAUAAAAUUUGAUAAAAUUACUCAUGUCAAAAAAAAUCAAAUGGGCAGAAGAAAUAUCAAGAAAAAAAAAUAAAAAGAUGCGUAUAAUUGAGGGCAUCUCCGUACAUUCUAAACAAAAGAAAAGAAAAGAAAAGAAAAGAAAAGGGAAGGAAAAAAACAAUGGAGGAGAGAGGAAUUUUAAAACAUAUUUUGUUUCUUUCAGUUUUUGGUCCCACUCGUGGAAAAUAAGAAAAAACCACCCACUCGGGUUUGAACGGCCAACCGUAUUUACUCCUCAAUACCACCUAUCCCUCCAUCUGACAUCUCUGGUCACAGUAACAGGUAACAACACCAUGUCUCAUUCAACGCUCCCAUAAGUGGGAAAAGAGAGAGAGAGAGAGAGAGAGAUAGAUAGAUAUUUCCUCUCUCCUUUCCUGCAGCUUUAACAUUGCUUUUGCUGUUGCUGUGUCAAACAUCAAACCCAACACAAACCCCUCCCUCAUGCGCGUGAGGCUGUUUCGGUGGAGGAGAUGGUAUCCUUCUGAGAGGUUUGGGUGUGGGUCUGGGGCGUUCUUCUACUAACUAAGAGGGGUGUCAUUAAUGGGUAAUUGUUGGUUUAGGGGGAACUCUUCCAUCCACAGAGUAUCUUCCAAUGCAAAAUCUGGUAAUUUUAAUGCUCUUCCGAGUUCGAAUCGGUGUUUAAUUGCUUUUGAUAUUGGUUUCUGUUUUCUUCUCUCUCUCUCUGCACUUGGAUUACCGAAAUUCUUAUGUUAUUAUUAUUGGAUUAUUACAUAUUUUGCUUUAGGAAUCCUCUUCAUGUUCUUUUUGAUGCAUGUUUGUUGGGUAAUCAGUUUGGGGGAAAAAAAAGAUACAGAAUUUCGGAACUCUUUUCUUUUUUUCUUUUUUUUUUUUUUUACUGAAGAUCAAAACCAUGCUUUUUGGUUAAGAUUCCAUUAUAGUAAGGGAAUUAUUAAAAUACAUUAAAAGGAACAGUUACUUUUCUUUAAUGUAUUCCAUCUUUGUCUCACAAGGCAACAAGAAAGAAACCUUUUUUUUUUUUUCACCUCAUUACUUUCAAAUUAAAAAUUGUUUAGUGUUGGCCUGUGAGAUUAGUAGUUUGUCCCAAGAUUCUCAAGCUAUGCUGAUUAAUCAAAUAUUUGCAAGGAUAUUUCAAACUCAGAAUCUCUUUCCACAUUAGUUGUUGAUCAUAACAACAUAUGCCCAGAGAAGUUCUAUGCACUUUACAUAUUUAUUGCGGUUAUAUUACUCUGAAAUGAAACUUGCUGGCAAUAGAAUCUCCGAAAGUCCGGAGCCCUUCAGCGAAGGAGGGGUUAAAAGAAGGCAGCAGACUGCCCUCGAACCCAAAAGAAGUCGAGGACUUGCGACGAGAUUCGGCCACGAAUCCUCUGAUUGCAUUCACAUUUGAAGAACUCAAGACAAUUACAGGGAAUUUUAGGCAGGAUUAUGUCUUGGGUGGAGGGGGAUUUGGAAGUGUUUAUAAAGGAUAUAUCACUGAAGAUCUUAGGGAGGGAUUUCAACCUCUGCAAGUUGCUGUGAAGGUUCAUGAUGGUGAUAAUAGUUUUCAGGGUCACAGGGAGUGGCUGGUAUAUAACUUUCCUUUGCUAAAUUACAUUCUCUCUCUCUCUCUCUGUCUCUCUCUCUCUCUCUCUCUAUAUAUAUAUAUAUAUAUAUAUGCUUUAUUUAUCUGCUUAUUUUAGUUAGUAGCAGGCAGCUAUUUAUUAGUUAUGAGAUAUUUUUGAUAUCUGUAGGCUGAGGUUAUAUUCCUUGGGCAACUUUCGCAUCCGAAUUUGGUGAAACUGGUCGGAUACUGUUGCGAAGAUGAGCACCGAGUUUUAAUAUAUGAGUUCAUGCCUCGGGGUAGCGUGGAAUCAAAACUGUUUUCAAGUAAUUUCUCUUGUCUGCACUUGCUAGUUGUUGCUUUAAGUAGAUUAAUUUCUUUUGGAAUGGUUUAAAGUGCAUAUGCUGUGAAACUACAAUGAUCAUUCUACUCGAAUUGUGUGAUUCUUUUUGUUGUUGUUAGUAAAAAUUUCUUAUGUUACCAUACUAGCUAGCUGUUUCACUAAUUUUUUCAAAUUGAUGUAAUUAGUUAACAUUUUCGAAUUGUUGUGCCUUACGAUUACAUUGUUUUCUUAAUAUGUAACUAGGAUGCUUAAAUGCUAGCAUUCCACACACACUAAAAAAAGAUGCUUUAAUGCUGCCAUCGAAAUUCAUUUUGUGGUCAAUGUAGGAACUAACCUUUUAUCCGUGAUUCUCUAAAUGAUAUUCAUCUUCUAUUGCCUUACUUUUUGUUCCCUUGUAGGGGUGUUGCUUCCGCUUCCAUGGUCCACAAGAAUGAAGAUUGCAUUUGGCGCUGCAAAAGGGCUUGCUUUCCUCCAUGAAGCUGAAAAGCCAGUAAUAUACCGAGAUUUUAAAACAUCAAAUAUUUUGCUAGACGAGGUUAGUACGCUGUAGCUACCUUUAAAUGUUUUGAUGUCUUCGACUAAGUCCCAUAACUAUGGAUAACAACUUUUUUUCGUGGCUCUUCUUUUGUUCAAUACCAUGCAUUGUGUCUAUAUGUUGUUUGCUGCUUAUUUGGUCAUUUAGACCUUAGAAGUAUCUAUUUGUUGACUAGCUCAUAUUGGUGUUGUCGUGGAGGUAAACCUCUAAAGAAACCAGUGUCUCAUCUUUUUCCCACAAAAAGUACUUGGAAUGUAUAUGUAAAUGCAUAGCAUAAGGUCAAAAGUUGCUUCAUCUUGCGUUCCAUUCAAGGAUUUAAGUGCCGUGGCACGGGAUCGUGCCGGAAACUUGCCGGCACGGUACGGCACGGUGCGUGCCGAGCCGUGCCGAUGCGUGCCGGUAAAAAAAAUUCUUAUGUGCCGACACAUAAUAGCAUGAAAUAUUUAUUUUCUUUAGCAACAAAAUAUUCUAGCUAUUUAUUAUGUCUUUUUAUCGCAUCUUUUGAACUUUAUUGAGGAAAUUACUUACUACUUUAAAGAAUAGAGGGUUUUGAGCUGUGCUAUCGGCACGGGGUUUGUAUCGUGCCGGUAUUUUGUUGGCACGGUGGAUACGGCCCGUGCUGACGGGCACUUAAAACCUUGGUUCCAUUCAUGUAUGGAAGAAACUAAAAGGAAAUUUCUGGCAACCUUUCAGAAGCUCUGUUAGUGCAUCAAAGAAAUGGUUAUCCCCAUUAAAUGGGUGAAGUCAUUUAUUAAAUCAUAAAUACUUUGUACCUUCUAUUCCAUCGAUUUGUAAAUAAUUCUUAUGGUAUUCUUUUGCUUUCACAGUUUCACCAUUGUAAGCAACACUCUUUAAUUUCGUCCCCACAAAAACUAUCGUGGUUUUAAUGGUUUCGUUGUAGAUGCAAUGAUUGUGCUGUAGCUAUAAUUGCAUUUCUCUUUAAGCACUUAUUGCAACAUUUUGAACUUAUCUUUGUUUAGAUCAUUUCGCACUUCGUAUCCUGCAGUACUCUUGUUGCAAUUUCUCUUAUUCUUUGGUAACAUUUAUAGGAUUACAAUGCAAAACUCUCUGAUUUUGGGCUUGCAAAAGAUGGGCCAGUAGGUGAUAAAUCUCAUGUUUCUACGCGCAUUAUGGGAACUUAUGGGUACGCAGCCCCAGAAUACAUCAUGACAGGUAGUGUAUAUGCUUGUGUAUUCUCUAGUUUAGAAUUUCUGUGUCUUUUGAGUUUUUGGGUUAUGGAAUGGCCUAAAGAGGUACAGUUCUGUACAGGUUUAGUUCAGUUAGAUAUUGCUGAUAGAUGUAAUUUGUGUUAUUUAAAAUUUGAAGUUCCAUUAGAGGUUGCUGUUAAAAAAAUAUUUUUGAAGUGGUCUGUUGAGACAAAAAAUAACAUGUGACUUGUGUAGCAGUGAACUUUUGACACACACACACACAUACACACAAAGGAAGGUCUUGAGCUUGGCAUAUGCUUCAUUUGUUACGUUGAUUAUAGUUCUUGUACCAUUCAAAAAGCAAGCAAACUGUGAGGAUUCUAUUUUUAAUUCCUGAUGCUACUUGGACAAGCAAAUUGGUAAAUGAAGUAUCAACAUAAAAAUUUUAGAAACAAGAUUUCUUAAUUUAUCAAAGCUAAAUCCGUGAGUAGCUGUACGAAAAUAAAAUAAAUUCUGGUGAGGAACAUGCUAGAUUGCGAGUAUAUCCCUCUCUUUGAAACAAUAACAUAGCAACUAUGAUGACUUGACAGAAAUUUGCUGCUUGUAAUAAGACAUUAUCGCCAUUUAGAUUACUAGAAUGCUAAGACACGGAUGGACGUUAUAUCUGAUCUGAUAACUUUUUUCACUUCCUCCAUGUAGGGCAUCUGACUGCGAUGAGUGAUGUUUAUAGUUACGGAGUCGUCCUCCUUGAACUACUCACGGGCAGAAAAUCGUUGGACAAGUCCCGGCCGGUUCGCGAGCAGACACUCGCAGACUGGGCCUUCCCAUUGCUGACCCAAAAAAAGAAAGUGUUGAGCAUCGUGGAUGCUAGGCUUGAAGGCGACUAUCCUGUUAAAGCCGUCCACAAGACGGCCAUGCUGGCUUACCACUGCCUUAGCCGUAACCCAAAAGCACGGCCUCUUAUGCGAGACAUCGUAGAUUCUUUAGAACCUCUUCAGCAACCUGCAGAGACUUCUGUAGAGGCAUCUACAGCUGAUGUCAACUAAGUUCCUAUCUCAAAUGGCUCAUGUUUUAGGAAAAUCGUUAAAACUUGUUGAUCUUGCAGACCAAAAAACAUGGGUUUUGGUUUGGAUGCUUAGAUGCAUCCAUUGGUUGAAAUAGAUGCUUUUCUAUUUGGUUUGAUGUACAUGAUUUCAUUCACACUUCUGUAUAAUACCUCAGGGUAUUUAUUCUGCUGACGUUGGGGUUGACGUUGGGGUUGACGUUGGUAACAUAUAAUCUUUCUGGUAGAAUAUUCUCCGUAUAUUUUCUCUCCAUAAAGCAAACAAAGUAAGCACAAAAUAUGCAGUUUCUAAUGAUAAAUAUCUUGUUAUUGAAUGGCUUCUCACUUUUGUUGGAUCAUUGCGUGAGUAGUGCUGACUUUGGCUAUGUUACAUUGUUAUUAUAUACUUUAAGCAGUGUGAAGAUUGUUUUUGGUCUUUUUGCCAGUGGUGUUAAGAAUGUACUAAACCAAAUUUUGUAUUUCGAAAGCAACAAGAAAAGAGAAAAGAAAAAGAGAAGGAAAAUCUAUCUACCUGAAACAAGUUGUAAGUUCCCCAAAAAAAUCUGCUAUAAAUUCAAACUUAUAAUAGUUAUAUUUAGGUAAACUUCAGUUUGCCUCCUUGUAGUUAAGCUCUUUUUUAUUUUACCAUCAGCCAACUCUUUUCCCUCCCACAUUCACGUUCCUCUCUCUCUCUCUGUUACUCAUCUCUCUCUUUCUCUCUCCUCCACCCUCCUCCCCUCUCUCCCUCUCUUAGCGGCUACAUCAGCUAAGCUCCGAAAUUGAAAGAAGCAAUGCGCAAGAGGAAGAGAAGAAUCGGAAAAAUGAAAGAACAUGAGACUGCGGAAGAGGUUCCAACUGAAAUUGGUAGGCCGCGAUGUAUUUUGCCUUGAAUUUCUUUGAAUUUGUAUGGUUCUUUCUUUUUCAUAUCUUUUCUUUACAUUUGUAUGUUUUCUAAGCGAAAAUGAUUCGAUUCUAUUUUUUCUUUCAUUAAAAAAAUUUAUUAGAGGUUGCAUUGAAUUUGGAGAAUCCGAAAACUAACAAAAGAAAACAGAAAAAGAGAAAGGAAACGGAAAAAGAGAAACGAGAGCCGGGAUGGUACACAAGGGCAACACAUGAUUCUGAAUUCACCUCAAGAAGGAGCAGCCAAUAUUAGUCGAAGCCUGUAAAACAUAUUCUUUACAGUAACACAUUUAGUUAAUCACACUAUAUAAUGAAUUGAUUGAAUCUUUAAUUGGGUAUUAUUACUCCAGCGUACCUAAGUGUCCUGUUCAAUUCCUAUUUGUGUUAUGCGACUAAGGUUGAAACCAAAACAUGAAGUCAAUAUAAUUACAUGAUAUUUAAAACAAAAGAAUUUAUCUUCGGUCAAAUCAAUUCCUAUAAAAUGGAAUAGCUUACCACAAUAAUUGUUGCAGCACAAUAAGUCAGCAACUAAUUCGUAGACAAAUGACAUAUAUAUAUCAAAUCAGAAUAUCUGUUCCUUAUUUUCGCAACUAAAGUAACGAGCCUUCAGUUCCGAGACUCGGGGCGAAUCGGACGGCUAGGUUUUCUUUUCUCGCGUAUAUCACGAGGUGAUGAGAACCCGGGCCACAAAACAACAAUGGGCCAGGCUGGGCCGGAGCAUCUGUUGUGUUGCGUAGCCUGUUCCAACGAGAGCACUGUUACUCCGACGGCCCAACGAGUUCCAUCCAAAAACAAUCGCCUCCUGCCCCUUUAUUAUGGUAGCUCCAAUCCCUAAUCCCUGCAGCCCCAGUCACCCUCCCACCAUGAAAAACCCCAAGGCAUCAUCAUCAGGGAAGGGCUCUUCCCAGAAGGCUCCCUCUUCCUUAGGCUCCGGCGCCGGCGGCGGCCCCUCCGCCGCCUCCGGCAACCGCAAAUCUCGGUGGGAGCCCAACGAUAAGCCGCCCUCCGACCGCCGCCCUUCAGGCUCCGAUUCCAAGCCCCUGAAGCCCAAGGACGAGCCCUCGGGCCCCUCAUCCGCCGCCGCCGCCGCCGCCGCCGCCGCAACACCCAAUCCCAAGGAGAAGCCGGCGGCGCCGACACCCGUCUCCGGCAACCUCCGGUCUCCCCACUCGGCGGGGCCCCCCUUCCACCUCCCCGACCCCGCCGCCGUCCCGCCGCCCCCGCCUCCGUACGGCUUCCACAACCUCGAGCGCCGCACCAUCGUGCUCGCCGACGGCAGCGUCCGCUCCUACUUCGCCCUCCCACCGGAUCCGCCGCCGGCCGCCGCCGCCGCCGCCGCCGCCGAUAAAAUGUUCCCCUACCGCCCCCCAAUUGCCCGCCCCGGCUUCGGCCACGGCCCGGAGCCAGGCGUGGGGUUAGGGUUCGACCGGCACUAUCCCCCGCCCCCUGGAGGGCGAUUCAGCCCCGAGGACCACCUGCGCGACCCGCGCUUCGGCCGUGGAUCCGGGCCGCAGAACGACUACUGGGCGUCUCUGGGGCUCGACGGCCCUCGGGGCCCUUCCGAGAGCGGGCCAUCCUCGCUGAAGAGGAAGUACGGGGAGGACGACGAGCUGGCGUGGAGCAGGAGGCACGUGCUGCUGUACGGGGGCGCCGGUGGAAACCCUCCCGGGCUCCCUCCCGGGGUGGGCGGGGAGCGAGAUGAUCUCAGGUCGUCGAAGCAUGCAAAGUUGGGCGCCGGAGGCUACGAGGGGUUGCCCUCGCGGAGCGCUCGGGUUGAUGAUGCGCCUGCAGUUCCCUUGGAUGUGGAUAAGCAGGCUUUGAAGAGGGCAUUCCUCAAGUUCUCGAAGACUAUCAAUGAAAGCUUCUCACAGAAGAAGAAUUAUUUGGAGAACGGCAAGAAUGAGCCUUUGAAGUGCAUUGCUUGUGGCAGGUUUGCUUACGUUUGGAAGUUUUCAUUUUAUUUAACUACCGCUAUCGCAAUGCAUGCUUGUUCCUUUUCUUUUUCUUAUCGAGAUUUUGUUGUGACUUGUUUACAUAACUCGGUCGUCUAUAUAACUCUCUUGAUAAACUGAUGCAGGAGUCCUGCUAUUCUAUUUGCGCCAGAGGUUUGCAGUUGUUCUCAUUCCGUGCUACGUAGAUUAGUUUCCUUGUUUCGUUGGUGCAUUUAAUCAUUAAGUUCAGCUACUAUAAGUCGUUCUGCAUAUUGAUGGCAUUUGAUAGUCCUUUUUCAUUAGAUUUGGUUAGUAUAUUCUUUUUUUCUUCCCAUCUUUGCUCUUUGCUUUUUUGUUCUGCUGUCCUCGAUUUUUUUUUUUUCUUCUUUGGCUGUUUGUUGUAUUUUUCCUUACAGCGCAAAUUCGCGCCGAUGGUACUAAUUUUCUCCGAUUUCUUUUAUUCUUGUGGGAUGAUUAUGUAAUCCUGUGGCCUUUUAAUGCGCAAAACCUUCACCUAUCUAAUAUCUUUUGUCUUUUCUGGUAAUAUUAAUUGUAUGCAAUAGUAAUUAUUUCCUGAUGAAGCAAAUGCUGCUUUACUUUUACUGCAUCUACUAUCUUUUGUCUCAUCUUUUGAUAAAACCUAUGACUCCUUCCUGUUGCGGAGGGAGUAAGGAGUUGAUAGUUCUUAUGGUUCCUUAGGUUUCUUUUGGUAUGCCAAGUGCAAUGGGGUUCCAAUGGGGUUCAUUGUUAAAGAUGACAUAUAUGAGAUUGCUUGGUAACAAAGAAGUUAUUGAGUUGGUUGGUGCAUGAUUUCUUGGUGUUUGGUUUAUAUGUAUGAUAGGUAAAUUAUUUCCUGUAGGUUAUUUUUAUUGCAGGAAGCAUGAUGUUGUUUGCAGUCCUCCUUAUAAUAAUUUGCCCUAAUCAUUGCAGGUCUAUCUUUAGAUAAAAUUCUUCCAUUUCUUGAAUCCAAUUGCCAUUAUUCCAUCCAAAUAAGUGUAACCAGAACAAGGUACUGUCAUUUUUGGAUGUUUAAACCAAGGAGCUAGCAGAAUUAAGAUGUUGGUAUGUAUGACAGCACCAUUGCAACAUAAAUAUUUCCCAUUUGUUAUGGGCACUUGCUUUGGUCCUUCACGGCCACUUUCCAUGGGCAUGGGCGGCACAACCUGAAUGUCUACAACAUAUACCAUGCUCGCAGACGCAUGGCUCCUCAAUACAUGCUUGUUUGUCUGUUGCUUUAUGUACAGUUACAAUCACUCCUUGAGUCAUUUGAGAUGAUUUUAGUCAUGGAGUGUAUUUAGUGCCUUUUGCUGAGGUGCAUUUUACAAAAUAUGGUUUCUUUCUCUUGGUUGCAGGACAUGAACAUUUCAGGUUAUAGUAGUUUAAUGAUAUUAUGGGUUUUAAAAGGGUUUCCCUUAACCCAGAAGGGUUGCACCAUAUGCUGAUCUCCUUAUUACAUACUUCUGCCCAUUUACUCUCUGCAAAUAGUCUUUGUGAAAAUUUUUGAUGAGAUGUGAUUUGGUUUGAUCGUGUCCCAUAAAUCUGGUAUUUUAUCAUUGCUAGAAGUCUUAUAAGUCUUGUUUGUUUCAGCAUUUGGAAACAUCCAGAUGUAUCUUGUAGUUAGAGCUAUAAAUACCUAUAUGAAUCAGAGAACUUGAUGCCUGUCUUCACUUUAAACAACUUUUGAAGUAAUAUGCUUGUAAGUAUUUUAUGACUUGUGAGAUGUGGUCGUUAAGAGAACUUCAUAUGUUUUGAAUUUUCAUUCUUGGGGUGCUGCAAAAUUGGCAUUUGGCAUGGUCCAAUAACGAUCCUUUUGACCAGUUAAGUGAAGCUUGCUGAGCUGUCAGGUAGGUUGCUAAAACUAAGUCAAUUGGUAGCUAACCAAAAGCAACUCCGUGGAAAGAGAAACACUUUGUAAAUCCAUUGUUAUUGCAACUGGAAAUUUGCAUAAAAUUUCUAGAUAGCCGGUAAUAGAUGAUUGUUCAUGGAUUUGGACAGGCUAUUGUUCUUUGAUGUUCAAGCGAUGUAAAAACAUCAGCCUUGCUGUAACUUUGCCUGUGUCACAUCUAAAUCAAGCAGCAUGGUUGUUAUCUAGAAAUCUAGAUGCUAGGUAUUAUUUUGUUAUCUACAAGUCUACUUCUAGAUUUGAAUCUUGAUGUCACCUUGCAGGUGCAGUGAAGCAUCCAAAUGUUUGUUAAUUAUUUACAUGCUGUUUUUGUAGUAGGUAAUAAUUAACUAACUGUCGUAAGGUGUUGGCUCCAGUUCCACAUGCCGAAGUUGGAGCUAUAUUGUAGUCGUAGAUCUAACAUUUGGAGUUACAUGAGUUUCAAUGGGGGGCUUUUUGGUUGAGUAGGAGGGGCGGUACCAACAUUGGAUGGGGCACUAGUUGACAUUGACGGCAGCCUCGGCACCUUUGGGGCAAUGGUCUCCUUAAUGGUCUUGGCAUAGCCUCCAAAAGCUCUAUCUUUUCCUCCGCGACUCCUCCCUUUCUUCCUUUAUGUGUGCACUUUGGGGAAUGUAGAGGGGCAUCGAUGAUGGCGGAAAGGCACCAGCCAGUUCCCUCUCUCUCUCUCUCUCUCUCUCUCUCUCUCCCUGUAUACAAACACACCCACAAACAUUUCUCUCUCCUUGUUGCUUUGGCAGAGGCUACAGUAGAGGAUAGCAGCUUCUCAUCUUAUUCAUAAGUCUCUCUCUCUUCUAUCCUUCUUCACUUUACCUUUGUUCUCUCAUUUCUCUUUUCAUUUCAUAUCUUCCCAAUGUUGUAGUUAAUUGUCACCAGGUAGCUGCUUCAACAGAAGCUGUAAAGCUAAUUAUGCCUACUUUUCUAUUGAUUGGUAUGUUAGACAAAUCCUCAAUAGGGGUGUUUCUACUAAAUAUAUUCAUUUUUCCUUUUGGAGUUUGCUAACUUUCUGUUGAGUGGUUAUUUGAUGUGAAUACCUUGUUCUCUCAUUUCUCUUUUCAUUUCAUAUCUUCCCAAUGUUGUAGUUAAUUGUCACCAGAUAGCUGCUUCUAUGGAAGCUGUAAAGCUAAUUAUGCCUGCUUUUCUAUUGAUUGGUAUGUUAGACAAACCCUCAAUAAGGGGGUUUCUACUUAAUAUAUUCUUUUUGCCUUUUGGAGUUUGCUAACUUUCUGUUGAGUGGUUUUUUGAUGUGAAUGUGGUAACAAUGACUUGUAAUUUUGAUUUGCUUUGAAAGCAAAUGGUGCUGACCAUCAAUAGUCAGCAAGUGGCUUUAUUGGCAAGUUUCUGAUUGUUCUGUGCUAUGCAUCUUUGACGAAAAUCUCAUUCUCAGCUAUUAAUUCUGCAUUGCAUUUCCAGUUUAUAUCUGUUGAGAGAGUGGACUUGCAUUCUUAUCUCCCCUCUUUAACGAAAUAGGUAUUUGCUCAGUUAAUACUUUGCUAUAUGACAGUACAAGCAGCUAAGUUCAGACUGAACUCCUUGGUUCAGCUAUAUGGAUCCUUUCCCUCCAUUUAAUUUCGUUUAGAGCAUGGUCUACUGUCAAAGUUGCGUGUUUCCCUAUUAUAAUUACCGACAUUUACUAGGUUUCCUAUAUUUAGCAAGUUUCAAUGUAUUGGUGUCAAACAAAUCAUAUGAAAGUGUUCCGUAUGUAAAAGUGAGCAAAUAUUUCUUUUUCUUUGUAGUGGUAGUUUGCAUGAUCUAGGCCCUUGCUUGUCUCUGUGCCCUUUUUGCCAUAAUAAUUAUUCACAUGGACACUUAUUCCUUAGCAGGAUGUCUUUGGUUUAGGAAGAAUUAAAUUCUUUCAUGCAAAUUCGAGCUGGCAGUUAUUCAACUUGCCAUACUUUGAGUUGUUGCUAAUCUUGAUAUGCAUAUAACAUGAUUUUUUUACUUUGUUUGUGUUCAAAGUUGUUCAAUGACUUGCAUUUUAUUUGCCUUUUCUCAUAUGCUUAUUUUUCAUUCCGGAGAAAGAAUAUAUCCCAGAUUCAAAGGCUAUCUUUUCCUUUGAUUUAACUACUGUGUAUGGAGCAAGGAUUGCUUGUGCCACCCUGUGCCAUACCAUGCCGAGGGCGUGCCAUAAUGUGGCACAGGGUCAUGCCAACACCGUAUUUGAAAUCUUUUUGAGUUUUUUUGAGGCAAAAUGUUUUAUAAAUGUUUUUUCAUACUUAAAAUAUGUAGAUCUUGUAAACCUACUUGCACUUGGAGCAAUUAGUAAGCUCCAUCGCAUAAUAAGACCAUUUUUAAGUUAAAAAAGAAAACAAAAUGAAUAGAUUUCCCCUUAUUUCCUUUAUCCUUUAGAUCUAUAAAUAAUGAUUUUGGUUUUGGUUUCAUGAUAUACUUUCUUAAUAUCGAUAAAAUAAUUCUAUUAGUUAUGAUGUUUAUGACUCUAUUUUUGUUAUAUACUGUGAGAUAUAAUAUAUAAACGAAUUCAGCUCCUAUGCUUUUAAAAGUACAAAGUCAUUGGUACUUGUAGGUUUCGGCCUUUGGAUUAAGAGAUGUGCAGUUAGGAUUAUAGUGGUCCCCUACGGUUGAGUGGGUGGUUGGUUGAAUAAUAUGAUCUAACAGGUAGAAAUGGUUAAAUCGGUAGAUCUAACGGCAGAAAACUUACAAGCACCAAGCGCUUUGUGCUUUUAAUAGCACCAUAGCCGGACUCUAUAUAAACUAUUUUUAUAAUCACUAGAUAUAUUAAAAUACUAUAAAAACUAAUUUUCCAUAAUAAUUUAAUAAAUAGAUUUCGCGCCAAUGCGUGCGAAAGUGUAAGUUGUGUGCCACUUGCACAAGGGGCAUGCGAACAUUGGCAUGCCCCUUGCCACUUGCCAUGCCUGCUAUGCCGUGUCGUGCUGUUGGCAUAGCGUCAUGGGUUAUGCUAGUGUCACAGCAAUUCUUGGUAUGAAGAAAUUUUGGGAGCCUGCUUGUAGAUUGCCAAUGGCACGGGCUGUGCUAGCGGCACGGCAAUCCCUGGUAUGGAGAAAUGUUGGGGGUUGCUUGUAGAUUACAUUGGCCUAAAAUAUACCCUGUCAGUUUGGUUACUGUACUCAUUAACCGGACUUAUCAACUUAAAGGCAAGCUUCUUCCCUAUUUUAAGUCUGCUAGGAUUUGGGUACAAAAUUUAGAGAGUUAAGGUCAGGGUAAUAGCUUGUGAAUUUUUCACUCUUCCCGGCUUUCUUUGCUAGCAUUGUACUUGCAACAUGUGAACUGGUGGAGUGUUUCUAUGAAAUCUUUCUAUCUUGUAGAACCCUUGAUUUGCAGCAAAGCUGCUUUUAGGAAUAUCAUUCUUAUGUGACAGAUGUUUGAUAUCCUUCAUUAGCUGAAAUGGGAGGUUGGCAAUUUUUUUUGGGUGAAAGCACCAGAUUUUAAUUUCUGUGAAUUGCCGUGUAUAUAUUUACAGUUUCCAGUACUUCAUAUCACAUUGUGUUAGGUCUUCAAUUGUAUGGCAACAUGAGUCAUUUAUUUCUGCCCUGACGCUUUAAAAAUGGACUAGAGAAGUGGAGGACCAUGACCUCUUUGUUCCUGUCAGUUUAGGGAAAUUACACAAUUGUUAGGCUAAUGUCUAUUUCUUGUUUAUAUGUUAUCCAUUGUUAUCCUUAUAUUGGUCGAUUAAAGAAUGUAGGCCAUUUCUCUUUGCCUCAAGUCUUUUAUCUUCUAUUGCAUUAAACUAGGAAUAUUUUUCUCUUUGUUAGUAGUUUAUGCAAAGUGUGUAGCUGCAUAACAGUGUCCUGUUUUACUGCUCCUUUUGUAGCAUGAUCUGAUCUUGUUCUAUUAUGUGUUUUCUAUGCAUGAUACAGGGCUUCUAAAGACUUUGCAGAUGUGCAUGCACUUAUCAUGCAUGCAUAUCACUCACAAAAUGCAGACAUGCGUGUUGAUCAUCUUGGAUUGCACAAGGCAUUGUGUGUUCUUAUGGGAUGGAACUAUGCGAAGGCCCCAGAAAAUUCUAAAGCAUAUCAAUUAUUAUCCCCAGAUGAUUCCCAGGCAAAUAGGGAAGACCUUAUUUUAUGGCCACCAAUUGUUAUCAUUCACAAUACCAACUUAGGGAGGAGAAAAGAUGGUCGCAUGGAGGGCAUGGGUAACAAAGAGAUGGAUAAUAAACUUAAAGGUAUGUGAUACAUCAUUUACGUUACUUUUUUAUACAGCAAACAAAAAUUUAUGUAUUAGGAUCAUUAUUGACAUGCCCUGUUAGUGUUCAAUCACUUGAUUUUAAUUAAUUGGUUGUCCUGCCAAUCGGGUUUGUUAUAUGCCUCACUUGGCUUCCUCUAGCAUUAAACAUGAUGGGGAAAUCAUUAGUGUUCCAAUUGUGUUACAAGUUUAAGGCGUGAUUAGUUAGCUCUAAUUCUUUUUGGACCUGUAAUUUGAUUUCUCUCUUUAAUUAUUAUCGUUUUGCUAUUGCAAUGUGCAUACAAGAUGAAUUAAUGCUUUCAGAUACUAUUUAUCUCCUGUAGUCAGCCCAAGCCUGCCCUGUUUAUUAACGGAUUGGCCUCUGGGUGCCUAUCUUUUUUUUUGGCAAUACUUUCCAUAGAAGUCCAUUUAUUUAGAAUGUGUUAUGGCCGGCACAUUUAGGGCUUGUUUGGAUGUCCGAACAGGUCAUCCAAUAAUAACUUCUGCACCAUGGUAUUUUCUUCUUGUCUUCGUUUUCUGCUACUUUGCUUUUGGUCCAUUGCUGGCUCCUGGCAGUCAUGAUUUUCCAGGAUAAUGCAUUCCACCUACGGAAUUUAUCUUAUCUAAAAAUAUUAACUUACAGACCACAUGUACCAUUGUAGACUCCUAAUAAUACCCCUCCCUCAUCUGCCGAUUACUGCAUUACCUUUGAAUAAUCAAAAGGGAUGUGCUGAACGAAAUGUUCUUUCGUUCAGAGAAUGCCAUUUGUAGGGCUUUGCCACCUGCAUGUAUUAUCUGUACUUGCAUAUGCUGUGAUCUUCUUUAUUACUUAUUUUGUUGAAUACUGGUCGAUUGUAUAGAGAGGACUUUAUUCUAGCACGAGCUAAAUGGGGGGAAAGGAUCCAUUUUGCGACAUCAAAUAGUUACGCUUUAUUUUUGUUCUGAAUGCUGUGACAUUAUUGUUCUCUUUUGAAUAUCCAUUAGUGGAUAUUGAUAGAAGUUUUUUGUAUUGUAUGUGAUGAUUAAGCGUCGCUGUUCACGACUAUUGAAUGAUGGGAUCACGCACCCGUGCAAUAUGAGGGGAAAUUUAAGAAUUUAAUGGCCUGAUUUCAGAUGUUUAGUCUAGAAUUGGUUUCUGUACAGAAUUUGGAUUCAUAUACGACUUGUGAGUUCGUUGUGAUCUCUCUUAUUUUUGAGAGAUGUGGAAAAGUGGUGAUGGGAUCGCCACAACUUAGAUAAUUUGGGUUAGUGAUGACGUCACGAACCUGUCGUGAUGUUUCUUAUGGUAUCUUAUGGUAGAGAAACCUGAUUGUUGCAAGACAAUUGAAAUAAUAUUAGAUGGUUUUACAUUUUACUUUGGAUGCUGACAUUUAGUUGGUUAAUCCAUGUUUCUGAUGGUGUAGAAUAAUUUCUUUAGCCAUGUUCUUAUUUAGUUGCUUUCUGGUAUAACUUUGUUGCUACUGAUAUCCUGAUUCGAAUUGCUUGGUAGUUUUCUUAAAGAUAAAUGAUGUUUUUGUGAGUUGAAUGUCUAAAUAGAGGUAAGUUGUGUUUCGUCUUUAAAAUGUGCAUCAAUACACUGUCAAUUAAGAGCAAUUCCCCGUGGUUUGGUUUGGUCAGAAGGGGGGGUGGGGUUUGGGUUUGUGGAAUCGCACUAUCCUCAUUGGCCACUUAUCUUCAUUACUUGUUCCUGCUAUCUCCAGCCUUACUGGCGUAAAACCUUGGAACCGGAGUUUCUAUUGGAGGCAUUUAACCCCUACCUUUGGGAUGGAAAUUUUCGAAACCAAAAACCAAGUAGCUAAGGAAAAGACGGAAAUUGCACCAGUUAUAAUAAAAGAGGGGAAACUGAAAUCAAACCUGGUUAGACUUGAUUAUAACUCAGUUAAACUUAUGUUAAGACCCUCAGAAUUGGAUCAUUCUAGUCCACAUUAUUUAAAUUUCAUCUCAAGUUGUCCUAGUUUCUCUUCUGUACUCAGGUAGGAACAUCAGCAAUCUAUAAGAAUAAAUUCUCAUCUUUCUAUGUUCCUAUGAACUUAUUUCUAGCAUGUUCUAUGUUUUGAGUUCCUUUUGUCACCUCAGGCUAGCUUUUAAGCUUUGUCUUAGGAAUUUCUAUAGCUCUGUUUCAUCCAACAGUUUGUCAUCAGUAUCAGUUAGAUUUUUCUUGUUUAUGGAGAAAGCAUUAUUUUCAGAUGUUUUACGCGACCGGUAGACAUUGCGGACCAAGUGGAGACAAGUUUCAUCUUGUACAAAUGGGCUAGUUGCUGUUUAUUUUCUGCAGUUAAUUUAGCCUCAGGAGUUGUCUAUUCAUCUUCAGAGAAGACACAGAAGUUACCAGUAGUAAACACAAUUGCUUUUGAAGCUAAAAUUUUGUAGUGCAAUAAUUUGCUUUCCCAAUACUAUGGAAAAUUAGCAUGGUCUUUUCAUGCUAGAUCUUGUUUAUUCUUGCCUAGUGGUAAAGAAGUGAGCAAGAUUGAAGCAUCUGGCAUACUGAUGUUUUUCUUUGAUAUGUAGCAAUGAAUCUCCUUGUUAGGAAAGGAUUAUUAAUAGUGAGAUCUACUACCGAGAAGGAAACUGGAAUAGUGUUGGCUGCAGUUAAUUGUAAUACGUGGACUAAUUCCACGUCAAAGUAGUUGUGUUCUUCAUUCCUUCUAUGUUUUUAUCUUUGUUUCCCAGAUCUAGGUUUUCCCGGUGGCAAAUCCAAGUCCCUGUAUGGGAAGGAAGGGCACCUGGGGGUGACACUGGUGAAAUUUGCUAACACUGAAGCUGGCUUAAAGGAGGCCGAGCGCCUCGCAGAAUACUUCGAGAAGGAAGGACAUGGCCGCAGAGGUUGGUCGCGCGCACAAGCUACUCUUCCUUCUGGCGAUGAUGAUAAGAAUCCAUUGCUGGUCAAGUUGAAUGAAAGGACUGGUGAGAAGAAGAGGAUCUUGUAUGGGUACCUAGCAACUGCAUCAGAUCUUGACAAAGUAGACUUUGAUAUGAAGAAAAGGGCUUCUGUCAAAAGCAAGAGGGAGUUUGACCUGUCCGAUUAGUGCCUUCAAUGAUACGUGUUUGGUGCUAAUAUAUUUUUUUUCCUAUUUACUUCAGACAUUAAACUUGCACCCUUGUGUUUCCUUUGGUGUGGCAGGAAUAGGGUUAAAUUAAGUUUUAAUCUACAUAUUUUGCCCAUAGGGGUACUCAAGUCUUACCUAGCAACGUAUUAAUUCUCUAUCGGUACUCUAGCUAUGGUUCAUCCCCCCCCACCCCCCCCUUUUUAUCUUUUUUGCCUUUUUUAUUUUUUAUUUUUCUCCAACGAGUAGUCAUGGUUCUUCAAAUAGUUAUAUGGUAGGAAACUACCUUUUAUGUGACUGACCAGAAUUGCUCUUUUUAGCUUAAAAAUGUUGGUGGUUGGAGAAUGACUGUUGGAGUGAUCUUUCCACUUGCUGAUGUCCCAUAGUUGUGAUGGGCCAGAUCAUCCUGCCAUCCGAUGCUAUCCUAUACCAUUGUCCUAAAUUAAUUGUGUCAUUUGUAAUCGAGCUUUGUUAACUCUCUGUUUGUCCUCGCCAUAUAAUGUUCCAACUUUGCGCGUUAUAAAGCAUCCUGUUUUCUGAGAGAGUUAGAAUUAAAAUAGUAUAACUGAAGCAGCGGGUGCCAUCUUUUUGUAGUGGUCUGUUUUAGUUGAACUAUCGUUUGUAAUCCUGAUCAUUGAUUGAAAUUCGAGUUGCAAAUCUGUUUUGUCACAUCUUUUCAUGAUGGUUUGUUUUAGUUGAACUAUCGUUGUGAUCCCGAUUGUUGUUUGAAAUUCAAGUUGCAAAUCUGCUUUGUCAGUUCCAAACUGUACUAGAAACGUUAUCAGAAUAGCGUGGGAAGAUGCCAACAUGGCGUAAACGGAAAUGCCUUUUUUAUAAUUAUAUAUAUAUAAUUUUUUAUUCUUCAGAUUCCAAGUUCGCAUUUGAAUAAUUCGUAACCCUCCAACCCUUUUAACUUUUGCAGGAGCUAUGCGAUAAUAAUUUUCUGCACUCCUUUGCCCUUUGUCUUAUGUGUGACUAAGCUCGGACUCUGGCGCAACUAAGACAACAGCUAGAUUUAGCUUUAGAUUUGGGGGCACUCAGGUAGCAAUGUUUUCUAGCUAAACCGCUCAGCAAAUAAAUAUUGAUAAAAAAAUAACAAGCAAUGCUCCACAUUCACCUACAGGAUAGGUGUGUGUAUAAUCCAUAAAAUUCCUAUGGUUUCAUAUUUUUCUGCUUGUUAUGUAAUUUUUUCUGAUUUUAUUAAAACCCAAGAAAAUUUUAUCUACCCUUAGAUUUUAGUGUGUAAAAUUUAAACUCUUUGACACUUGUAAUGAGGACGAGAGGUUGUACUUAUCAAAAACAAGAGGGUGAUCGAUGAGCUGUAGGAGGCUCAGUAGAUGAGCUGCGGAUACUUUAAUGAGUCAUAUGUUUUAUCUGUCUGUCUCGCUGAUGAAGCCACUGCCAAAAAUCAAUACCACUUCCUUGCGUGCAUCACUCAUUACAUUUACUUAGCUUUUUUAGGAAUCUCAAGUAAGCAUCUUUACUCAGUGGGAAAAGAAAAGAAAAGAAAAGAUCCCAUUGUAAGAAUCGCUAAACAUGCAUCUAAAGUGGGAUAUAUGUUGAACUGAGCGAGUAGCUAUCCGUCCGCUCCGUUGCUGAAUCGUUCUGCUGUAACUCGUGAGGACUGAUCUUUCACUUUCUCAACGAGUGCUCUUUUCUAUCUAUCUAUCCCUGAACGGGACUGGUAAUUCAAGUAGUGGUGGUCCUGUGCGAAUCCACUCUGACCUACUUUACCCACUUUGAUUUUAUCUUUCCCUGCGGCCGUGUUUCCACACUGCUUCCACUACAGAAGAAGAUCGAUGUGUUCCACUUCUCCAUUCCUAUCACCACCACUAAAGAGAUAGAGAUGUGUCCACUACUACUACUACUUGGGGCUGUUUGGUAUUCUUAAUGAGAGACACAACUAUAUUCUAUAUUGAGAGAUCUAGAGAUUUUCUUUUUUCAGUUUUUUAUGGGAUCAUCGAAUUUAUAUCUUAAUUAAAUUGGAGUGGUUUAAAUUGUAUGAACUGCUCGCUUACACACAUAUAUGAAGAUAUUUUCACUGAGGCAAUUAUUUUAUGUAAAUAUUUUAUUUGAUCAAAAUUCUAUUGGAUGACAUGUAUCCUUUUUUUUUGGCAAUCAUGUGCAUAUAUGUAUAAAAUUUUUCGGCAUAAAAAUAAUUUCACUGCUCGUUAACGGUUGGACGUGUUUGCACCAUGCACGCCAAAUGGCAUGUGUGCACCCAGACACGUCGUAGAGAGAACCCCAGCUAAGCUGGCGCACUGGUCCCAAAUGGCUCCCUGUUGGCAAAACGGAAAUGUCGACCUCGGUCAAAUCUUUGUGCCAUAUAGAUGAUAAAGAAUCUAAUCUAAGAAUAGCACAGUGAUUUUACAGUAAAAUAAUGCAUGUUUUAAAAUUUUUUAUUAAUUAUUAUACUUAUGUGCUAUGUACGUAGAAGAUUUUUUUAUCCAAUAUUAUUAUUCUUUGUGUGAGAAAUAACUGAAACAUAGAAAUUAACUUUCUCAUCCACGACGGGGGGACUAGCUACCUCCUCUCAGAAGUGGCUUUAGUUGCUCUCUAAUUACAAUGCCAUCCACGGUCGGAUUAUUAUUUAUUUAAUGAUACAUUUUAAGGCUUAACACUACGUACUCUGAGGUAACAUCUUAACUAAAUCCAAUGGUGGGCGCAACGAGAAAAGGCAAAUUAGAUAAAAAUAAAUAAAUAAAUAAGUUAAGGAAACAGAAAGAAAAAAAGAGAUGACCCAUUUCGAGUGUAUUAAAGAUGGCAAUAUGUAUUUACGUACUAACACAUUUAUUAAUUUAGUACAAAAAGGCACUGUCACAUAUAUCCGUCCGGCAAACAACGUCCAAAAAACCACUUUUGUGCCCUUUUCCUCACCGGUUACCGGCUUACCGCCGCGGCGGCGCAAAACAAGCCUACAUCGCUGCGAACCCUAACCGAGGCACUCCUCGGAGGCGGCGGCGGCGGGGGCGAGGCCGAGGAGGAGGUCGGCGAAGGCGCCGAUGAUGUACUUGUGGGUGCGCUUGCUGUUGAGGGCGAGGUAGCAGAGGAGGAGCUCGUGGAGGUGGGUGCGGCGCGCCGCCGCGUCGAGCCCCAGCGCCGCCACCAUCUCCUCCAUCGAGCGCCGGAAGUCCCCGUACGGAUCCGGCGAGUAGGUCGGCACCGCCACCCCCGUCCCGACCCCGACCACGGCCACGGCCGCCGAGUCCACGAUCGACUUCGACCGCCCGGGGGACGCCGGGAAGAAGCGGCGCGAGGCGAUCGCCGUGGAGAGGUCGCGCUCCGAGGGGGACGGCGACGGGGAAUGGGCGGGGGCCGGGCCCUCCUCGGCGGCGGCGGAGAGCGAGAGGGAGAGGGAGAGGGAGGACGAUGAUGAUGAUGAGGCCGCGGUGGCGGUGGCGGUGGCGGUGGCGGAGGAAAGCGUGGUCAGGGUUAGGGUUAGGGUUUCGGAGUCGGAGGAGGCGGUGGGGUCGUAGAGGGAGUUGAAGUUCUUGAAGACGACGGAGGCGGAGGAGGCGGAGGAGGCGGAGGCGGAGGUGGAAGGGGUGUAUUCGGAGUUGGGGAUUGGGGGAGGAGCAGAGUGGGAAGGGCGCUUCAGGCGAGAGAAGCAGUGAUGCAGUCCUUUCCCCAGCAUUGUAACUCUCAAACUCUCACUCCCCCCCCCCUUUUACAUAAAAUCUCUCCCUUCGUCUCCAGCGAAAGGGAGGGAGAGAUGAGGAGACUGUGUCGAAAGCGGACGAGGCCUAUAUUCUAUUUAUACUUGUUAAUUAUGUAGUAUUACGUACUUUACACGGAGAAAUGGUAAAGUUAAUAAUGAAUGACUAAAUAUAUUUUAUUUAUCAAUACUACUUCUUCAACUGAAUGCUAAUUAAUAAGAAUAUAUUAACAUUGAUUAAGUAGGUCUCCGUAAUUCAAACCCGACUCAAUAGAAUUGAGAAAGAAUAAAACAUAUUGCAUAAAAACUUUUUUCCCGUCUUUGAAAGGAUUUAUAAAAUAUUUUCUGAAAGGACCCUUUUUUUUUUUUUUUCUUUUCUCUUCAUUUGCAAAAUAUAUAAUUAAUUAGCUUUUAUUUUGCUUCCAACAAAGUUAACAUCUUGCAUUUCAAUAGAAAUUCUGUUUUUUCUAGCAAAUAAAAAUAAAGAUUAAUUAUAGCAACAAAUUAAAAGCCCGGAGGUCUGGUCUCGUCCUUGUUUCAGCCACGUGGUAGGCGAUCUAGAAAGAGUAGGACAACAUUGUAUUCCAAGACAAACAUACAAGCUCUCAUUACUAGUCCUAUACAGAAGGCAUUCGCCUACAGCUCUUGCAUUCUUUAAUUAGGACAAGUACUGUUACUAAGUAGCCGGUGGAGUCCUCGUUAUAACUAGCUCUUACUUUUCCAUUUCUUACUCCUUUAAUCCGUUCUUUUCUUUUUCACUCUUACUUAUAUAUACUUUGAUUGUUUUCUUUUUUUUUUUCCUCUGAAACGCUUGUGUCUAUAAUUUUGUAACUAAAUUAAUUUUUUUUAAUAAAUAAAGCGAAUAAUUUGCUAUAUAUAUAUAUUUUUUUUUAAAAAAAUAAUAAUAGAUAUCGAUCAAACACAGUAUGUGUAAAGUGUUUUUGUCAAGUGGCAAUUAAUCGUCAGAGAGAGGGACGGCGAGGGACUACGUAUCCACACAAGCUUACCCGGCCGGCGGCGGCCGUCGAUGGAUUAACUGGUGCAAGCACUAUUGCAAGGACAGAUCUCGCCGUCCGCAUUCAAUGCCGACGUAAAACGUAAUGUACUGCCGUCGAUGGUGGUACCGCCGGCCCGUGGAUCGCGUCUGCAAGGAAUAAGACGGACGGCGGGUGAUGCAUUGAGGUCGGCGAAUGAACGGUGGAUACGAAUCCGCCACGGAGACGGGCCGUGUCUUAAUGCCUGAUUGUCCUUGGAAAUAAAGAGGCUCACGAGGAUGUGUCGCCUCUUUUUUGCAUGAAUCUGGCACGCUCGCCCCAGCACUAUCUGCUGCGCACUGCAGGUCUAAAGGCUCAUGAGUUUGUUUCUGUAACUACUAAAAUUAACCUGGAUGUAUGGACAAUUAGCUAGGUAGAUUACACCAUUACCAAAGUUUUAUUUUGUUCGGCAUUUGUCGUCGUUAUUCUUAUAUGUAACCUUUGCGAGUAGUAUUAUUGCCUCUGUUGGAGUACAUUAUCACGUUACGAAUGUACGUAGUUGAUUUUUACAUCUUACUGAAAACAUUAAUGUGGAGGCCGGGCCAUGCAAUAAUGAAGCAAUACUACAACCCAGCAGCUAACUGUGUGAGUGUCGGACACCUUAAAUCAGAUGACCCGUGUUAAUUAAUCGGGAUCCACACAAUUAGUGUGUAUCAGUAGCCAUGUACAUUAAUUUUAUAGUUAUGUAGGUCUACCAUUGCUUUCAUUGAGCCUCUUAAUUAAUUAUUAACUCAUCCAUGAUAAAAUCAAACUAGCGCCUUGUAAAUUAAAGCAUGCAUAUAUAUGUACGCUUUCAAACUGUUAAAUCAUUUAUCAGACUCGGGAAGAUCCCCGAAGUCGCUUAAUUUGCAAGUUAGCAUCAAAUUGAGAUCGAAACUCGCAAAUAGGUAUAAAAUGGCAUUUAUGAAGCCAACUCACAUUCAGGAUAGGGACUAGACCAUAUGAGAUUGGCAUAUUAUUAGUUGCUUAAUUAAAAGGGAGUUGCACGUGGCACAUCACAUUAAAUCCGAACAAACCUGCAUCGUGGCUCAACUGGGCUAGCCAUGUAAUGUGCCUAAAAUCCAGAAAAAUUAAACGAGAAUAUAUUACCAAUGAAAUAAAAUAAAGCCGCCUAAUUAAUUUGCUAAUUUUUUCAAUAUUAUUGAUCAUUUUAAUCUUUCUAUGGACAUCACAAUUAAUGCUGUAAUUAUCUUUCUCAAAUGUUCUCUACUCUUAACUUGAUCUCUAUGCUAAGCUAUGCUAAACCAGCUACCAGUUGGCGUGGUGCUUUAAUUUGUAUACAUACGUACUAGCCGGUCGUUCAUAACUACUCUAAGCAGUACGUAUUCACAAGAAAUUAUAUAAUGGAGAUUUAAUUUUCCAUUAACAUUUGUAAUUAGAAACUUGGAAAUAAAAUUAACUGAAACAGAUCUAUGAGGUACUAUAUGGAACCGGUGGUUAAGAUCCUGGCAAAGGAGUGGGCUGAUUUUUGUAUAGCCGGGUGACGUAUGCAUUUACUACACUCUUUAUUUUGACGUUUGUUUUUGUUUCUAUUUUGAUUUUUUUUUAGUUCUUUUUUCCUUUGAUUUUUCAUCUUUUUCAGACCUUAGCUGUCUCACUCUAUAUAGCUAAAUUUAUUUACCUAAUGAAUGAAGCUGAUAACGUGCUAUCUUUCUCUCUAAAAAAAAAAAAAAUCCUCAUUACCACUAAUUACUGUUAGAUGUAUGCCCUAGAAGCCAACCAGGCCGACACAUAUAUUCUUUCUAGGACAUAAAUUUGUAUUUGACUUUAAAAUAUUAUGAAUAAAUUUGGGUUAUUAUUUUCAUUCAUGUUGUGUAUGUGUCCAUGAAUCGUCCAAGAAAUUAAUAAGAUGAUGACAUAUAUUCUCAAGAGUUGAGAAUUUGAGACAUGUGUCAUUGGUGNAUCAUCAAAUUGAGGCAAGGAUUUAUCCGCGAAAAAGGUAAUGAUUCGAUCUUACUUUUCUCCUUUAAUCUUAAAGAACAUGAGGGAUCCUAAUUGUGUGGUUUUGAGAUUUGAUCUCGAGAGUUUUUCAAAAAUCAAAUUUGUUUGAUUUCUUUUUCCGCUGCGUUUUUACCGUACGUAAUUUUCUAACAAUUACAUGAAUCAGUCAAAUUCUUUUCUGACCAUCGUAUACACAAAUACAUAUAUACCACUUUUCUCCAAUCGUGGAAAAUAUAGAAUUUUUACAAAUUGAAAUAUUAAUUUAUAUUUGAUGCUUGGAAUUAGAAGGCCAUUUGAACAUGCUGCUGCAGUAAAAAAAUCAUAUUUUUUUAUUUGUCUGAUAGCACGGUUGCUUUUUUCGAAAAUGACAAAUUGUCCCCGCAGCGAGAUAAAACAGUCAUGCAUGCAUGCACCAUAUAUAGAUUGUAUACAUAUAGCUCACUGUAACACCCCGCGAUUACAUACAUAUUAUAUAAUUAAACCUAACAAAACUCGCAAAGCCACGCAUUCAUCAACCAUUAAGCGAGUGAAUAUUCUUCAUUAAUCAUGUCCUUAGUGACACACAGUGAUCGAUUAAUUGUCUAUACCUAUCUCCAUAGAAAGUUACACCUAAAUUAUCAUUAAUUAACAACUCCCACGUACAUAAAACGCAUAAGUUGGGCCAGGAAAAUCAUCACGCGAAGAACCCAAAUCGGACAAGAUCCUGGAUUCCCGGUUGUCUCCAUCUAUAAUUCCAUGCAUCAAUUUCUCAUUUUUGCAAAUUAUGCGUUACUGCAAGGAGAGAUUCGCCCAGUUUGGCUUCACGUGCUCGAUCCCCUCAUCAUUUACAUUUACAGAUGUUGGGUUGAUAAACAAAAAUCUCGACAGGGACAAAUGGCUCCGUGCUUGCCAACUGGUGGCCUAAUUGAUCAGCUUCUCGACAAAGCAGAAGUUCUAUUUUGGAUUAACCAUGGAGUUUGAUCUAACAAAUUAAGGCCUAUAAAAUAAGUUUCUGAAUCUUAAAUAUAACGCUCGCACUUUGAAACACCUGACAGAGUGAAGCGACUUUAAAGAAGCUAGGAACGUAGACUUAAGAAUUAAUUUAGUGACUUAAUUUGUAAAUAAUUAAGAAAUCAACACAAGUAGCAUUUUCACAAAAUUCAUCUACAUAAUAAGAAACGAUCGAGGAAGACGGUAUUUCCAAUGAGAGCAUAAAAAGGCGACAAAAUUUCCAAAAUUAGCGUAGUUCCGAUCGAAGACUCCCAAAUAGGUCUCUCCUGCAGCCUACUUGUCCGGGGGCGCCAAAUGAAGGCCAAAGUGAACCUUUGUCACUUUCUCAAAUGUGACAGGGCGAGGCAGUUUUGAUCACUGUAUUAAUUUGAGUCCGUUUGACAGACCCAACAGUCCAACUGCGCGUAUUCCUGCACCAAACUGUUGAAAUUAAAGCAACUGCGCGUAUUCCUGCACCAAACUGUUGAAAUUAAAGACUUAUGGGGCUCGAAGAAUACCCUUCUUGCCCACUCAUUAAAAUGUACUUAUUAUUGCAAUUUAAGAGGUAGGAGAAAGUGAAAGUGUCUUGUUAAUUAAAGAAGGUUAGGUUAGCCUCACAUAUUGGAUAUAAAAUAGAGUCAUGUUCUCAAUGCACAGUGAUAAGCUUUCGGGUUGGACCCGAACGUACCCUCUUAACAUUUUAUACACAGAAGAAACUGAAACAAGAGGGAAAUAGUACUGGAAAAUAUAUAUAUAUAUAUAUAUAUAUAUAUAUAUAUAUAUAUAUAUAUGUAUAAAAUUGAGCUCCUAUGCUUUUAAAAGUAUCAAAUCAUCUGUGCUUAUAAGUUUUUGACCUUUGGAUUAAGAGAUGUGCAAUUAGGAUGAUGUGGACCCCCUAGAGUUGAGUUAGUGGUUGGUUAAAUAAUAUAAUUUAACGGAUAAAAAUGAUCAAAAACGUAGAUCUAAUGGUAGAAAAUUUACAAGCACCAAGUGCUUGGUGCUUUUACAAGCACCAUAGCCGGACUAUAUAUAUAUAUAUAGAGAGAGAGAGAGAGAGAGAGAGUCCGGCUACUAUACUAUCAGUAGCACGGAGGGCUCCGUGCUUUUCGAUGAUGCGGCUUUCAAAUCGACAAUCGGCUCUGUUAGACUUGAUCUACACUAUUAAAAAUAUUUGGAAACUAAAUUUCAGCAUUUUUCUACAUCAUUUGACUAGUGAUCAAAAGAUCUCAAAAUUGACAAUUUUAAUGGCCGAUGUGGUGUGUUUGUGAGUUUAACGGUGUAAAACAAUCCAAAUCCGAUGAAAAUUUUAUAGAAAAUUCUUUUCACUAUUUAAAGUAAGAUCAGUAUAUCUGAUCUUGAAUUUAAAUCAUUUAUCAUCAUUUUUUAUGAGAUUUUUAUUUUCUGCCGCUCAAUUUUAGACUACUUAUUUGAUAGGUAAAUGAUAUCGAAAAAUUAUGAAAUUUAGUUUCUAAAUACUUUUAAUAGUGUAGAUCAAGUCUAACAGAGCCGAUUGUCGAUUUGGAAGCCGCAUCAUCGAAAACAACUUGGUAGCACGGAGCGCUCCGUGCUACUGAUAGUAUAGUAGCCUAGUUCUCUCUCUCUCUCUCUAUAUAUAUAUACUCCGUGCUACCGAUAGUAUAGUAGCCUAGUUCUCUCUCUCUCUCUCUAUAUAUAUAGAGAGUGGGCUGGUAUGCUUCUGGAAGCACGGAGCCCUCCGUGCUUCCAAGUUGUUUUCGAUGUUGGGACUUUCGAAUCGACGAUCGGCUCCGUUAGAGUUGAUCUACAGUAUUUGAAGUGCCUAGAAAAUAAAUUUUGUGAUUUUUUAAUAUCAUUUGCCUAGUGAUCGAAGGGGGUCAAAAUCAAUAAAUACACCAGAAAUUGUCACUCACUUAGCAUAUGUAGAAAAGCAAAUUACACAUACAUGAUACAUCUUAUAAAUUGCUUCGUUUCAUGGUAAUAUAAUAAUAUAUGCUUGUAGUUCUAGAGGGUACUGUAAGAUACAUUUUCCAAAACUACAUAACAGAGCAUAAACAUGAGUGCUCAUUAUGGUGUGGGGCUCCAUGAAGCAUCUCAAAAGAGGACAGGGGAGAUGGGCAUGUGCCAAAUGGGGGAUUUAGAUAAGAAUUAAGGGGUUGGCUUAGUGUGGAGUGUUCAUUGUUCAAUGGUAUUGGAAUCAAUAAUAAUAAAAAUAAAAUAAUAAUAAUAGUAACGGUUCCCUACUCAUUUCUCAUGUUUCUGAGCAGUGUCUGAGGUGAGGACGUAAAGUACAGAGCUGAGUAAACUGUGCUCCUGCAGAGUUUUGCCGUCCCACUAUUCCGUGCAGAGUUUUUUUUUUAUUUUUUUUUUUCAGAACAGUUAUUAAUUUCACGAACUAGUUUGUUACUUUGUUUGGUGCAGUGUCUAAAAUAGUGGGUGCAGUGUCUAAAAUAGUGCGGCCUUAACCGGCCGGUUCAAAAAUGUGCAAUUGAGUUAGGUCCAACUCGUCCCCCACAGGCGUGAGCCAGAUGGGGAAGUGAACUUCACGGUCAAGGCCCAUUAAGUAAAGCCGGAUAAAAGAGAUUCAAUUUUAUGGAUUCGAUGAGAAGAUGAAACAUUGAAUAAAUCACGCUUAACUCAGGCUAAAAUAUAAGUUUCAUAAUUUUAUUAGAUUUUUCUCAAAAUAAAAGUAUUGAAAUAGAUUUCUAUUUGCUCUUUUCCCACCACGACUUCUUUUCUCUUUAGACUAGGUUAGCUCAUGUCGAGAAAUGCUUUAUUAGUCUACAAGCUAUGAAAAUGUUGUAAUUUUCCGUGUAGGAAAAUGUGCACGAAGCAGGCACAAACUCAUUAGUUUGUCAACUAGAACCAGAGAGACUUUUACCUUUGCCUGAUACAAAAAAGAGAAACCAAUUAACUUUGAAACUCAACAUCGAUCAAAAAACUGCGGAGUCCGAUACUAACACUACUAUGACCAUGACCUACUAGCAUGCCAAAUUAAAGGAACAGAAGAAGGCCAACAACACAACUCACGUAGACUUAGGAGACGCUCGCUAGUAUGUUAUAUCAUGGUAUAGCUUGAGGCCAUAUCCGGCUUGUUGCGAACCUCCGCUCCCGACACCUGCAGCGUCGUCCCUCUCCGCCGGCUUGUUUGCUAGCAGCUUCGUCGUCGCUUCCUGCUCCUCCAUCAAUAAUUUACAGUAGUAAAUGAUUUUUCUAAAUAAUAGUAACAUACAACGAAUUAAUGCUCGAGGAUCGAUCACUCAGAUCCCGACAACUGUAACUAGCUAACUCUUAAAUUGCAGCGUAAAAAAAAAAAAAAAAAAAAAAAACGGAAACAAAAAUAAAAGAGUUAAAUGAGUAGGUGGUAGGCACACCGAGAGGACGUCGCGGAGCUUGGUCUUGUCGUCGUCGCGGGUCAUCCAGGCGUUGGCAUUCGCGGCUGCCUGAGCCUGCGCGGCAAUACUGCCGGGCAUCAUCACGUUCAUUCCAGUGGCCCGCGCCUCGCGCUGCUUGAAUCGCAGCUGCGUCGCUCUGCUCCACCGGCUUGUCCCCUGCAGUCAGUACGGCCGCCUCCGAAUGUUAUCUUGGCCCCCUCCGGCACCCCUCCCGGGUUUUCCCAGCUCACGUACUGCCCCACCGCCUGUUAAUUAUAUUUCAAAAAAAAAAAGAAAAGAAAAAUCACUACUCGUUCGGAAUAUUGCAUGCGCGUCCCAUGAAUUACUAUACAAUUCUUCUCUUAAUUAAUUAAAGAGAGCUAGAGCACGGUACGUGUUUUCAAUGAUCUACCUGUCCGGCGACGAAUUCGGUGACGAUACGGCCGCCGGGCACGCGGGUUUCGGCCACGGUGGUGGCGGGGGAUAUCGCUGGCCCGGUCGUGGGCGACGAUGCCGGCGCGCUCGUUGCGCGCGGCGGCCGACUGCAUGACGGCAGCGGGGCCGCCCUUCCGGGUGUGGCCCAGCACGGCGUUCUCGGCCGUCUGCAUCAGGGCCGCGUCCUGCGGGGCGAUGGGCUGGGCCGCCAGAUCGCCGGCGAGACUUAAUGCGCUGUCCUUGCUCGCUCGAUCCCCCGGGCCUCAUGGCCUGUUGCUGGCUCAUUCUUGUUGUUUUAUUCGAGACGUAAUUAUAUAGGAGCGCGAAAUUAAUCUGUAGGGCAAGAAUUAAUAGGGAUCCCUACUUCGUUAUAGUGAUGCGGAGUGUAGUUGUGGUAUGUUAUCAGGUGAUAUGAAUUAAUGUCGAUCGCUUUAUUAAUUUACUUGUUAUUACUGGAGAGAAGAUCUAGGGCGCUCCCUCGACUCUCACUCUCUCUCUCUCUCUCUCUCUCUCUCUCUCUCUAUCUAUGUAGUAUGUAUGGUGUUAGAGAUGAUUAGAUGAGCGUGGUUGGGACAGCUCGGCGGGGAGGUGACACGUGGGAGGGUCCAUGGAGGGACACGUGCUGAGCAGGUGGGGCUCGUGGGGCGACCCAGAGAUAUAGUCGGACGCCUUGGAUAUGUAUGCAUAAUCAAGAUGAUGAUCAGCCGCAUCAUCUCCGAAACGAACCGACUUAAUUAGAGCUAAUGUGCGCGUGCAGAACCAUACACUUCAGAAUUGAGAGAGGAAUUUCUCUCUGGCAGUGCCUGCCGCGUCAAAGGCAGCAAUUACAUGUCAUAGCUCUAGCAAGCAGCUUUUCGUAUAAAACGCUCUUAAUUACUAAUUAAGGUUUUACAUUUUCCGUCUUAAUUAAUUAAUUAAUUAAUUAAACAGCUGAAGAAAAUUAGUUGCCAAUUUUAGUUUAGAGUUGGGAGUAUCCCUCAAAGAACUAGGGGCAGUUUCAGAAGACGCAUAAUAGCUUCUGUGGCAUUUUUGCUCUCGAGGCCUCACGCCCGUUUAAGAUUUGUCUCCAUAGCAAAGCCCUCGAUAUUUUUAUAUACUAUUCAGUCUUAUCGUUGCUGUAAAGGAAUAAUACUAUUCAGACAAUCUAAACUAGAUAUAAAGUUUAAAUUUUUUUCAUCAAAUUUUUUUAUUUUUUCACACACUAAUCUUAUUAACUUUUUUUUACUAUUAAAAAUUAAAUAAAUGUGUCCAAAUUUAAAACGAGAGAAUGCAAGAUUUUCAACAAAUUUUUUAGAUGUCCAGGCAGCAUAUCUCUUCCAAAAAAAGAAAAAGAAAAAAAAAACUCCAAAACAAUUAAGCAUGCAAAACGUAGAGAUCCAAUCCAACUGAAGUAAAAAAAAAAAANAAAAAAAAAAAAAAAAAAAAAAAAAAACCUCCUUAAUCGGAAAUCUCAAUAUUAUCAAAAUAUGAAUUCGCUGACGUCGUACAUAAGGGCGAGGCAAAAGUGAAGCCCCGCAACUCAUCACGUAGCCAUACAACACAGUCGAUCCUUCAAGCUCUCUCAGUCUCUAUCUCUCUCUCCCUCCCUCCCUCCCUCUCUGAUCUCUGAUCUCUCUCUUUCUCUCUCACCUGCGCUUGCUCGUGGGGCGCUCGCUGUGGGGCUCCCGCUCCCUCGAACCCCUGGAGUGGCGCCCCUCGUCCAUCAGUUCCCAGGAAUCCGCCUCCCUCCUCGAGGGGCGCCGCUUGAAAUGGUACUCCUCCUCGCUCGACUCGUGCUCGUAACCCCUUCUCGCAGCAGCAGCAGCAGCAGGGGAAGGGGCGGCAGCUGCGGACGAUCGGUACGAAUCAGAGGCGGUCCGGUUCUCCCCCGGUUCGCGGUCCUCCUUGAUCACUAGGCCGUUCUUCUUGGGCGGGGGAGGGAGCUCCGAGGAGGACCUCCGCUUCUUCCUGCUCGGCCCACCCCCGCCGUCGGAUUCCGGGUUGGAGCCGGGGAAGCUGAUACGGGAGAAGACGCUGCCCUUCUGCUUCCGGUCCAGUUUAGCCAGUUCGGCGGCGGAAGGGGGAUGGGGAUGGGGAGGAGGAGGAGGAGGAGGCUCGUCGUGGUCCAAGGCCGCCCUCUUCUUCCCGGUCCGUUGCGGGGAGUGACGGGUCGAGGAUGCCCGCGCCGGCGCGCCGUAGUGGCGAUCCUGGCUAGGUUCCCUCUCCGACCGCUCCGCCCGGUCCAAAGCUGAAGCUGCAGCGCCACUCGAUUGGGCCGCCGAUCUCUGCGGUCAAACUUUGUUAGCCCGUGAUUUCAAACAGCAAAAAAAAUACCCUAUACAUUCUUUCUAUAUAUAUAUAUAUAUAUAUAUAUAUAUAUAUACCACAUGUUCGUUUGCCCACUUGGUAUGGUCCAAAUAUCACUCACCUUGGUCGAAAGUGUACGCAUUGACUGCAUCACAGAUUUACAGUUUUGGAGUAUCAAAAAUAUAGAUGCUUUCGCUUAAUGCGGGAGCAAAAGCAAAAGCAAAGGCGCACAAUUCACGGGCUGCCCAUGGAAUGGACAGAUGCGCCAAGCCAGCGAAACCCCACAAAUUGCGGUUGAGAGCAACCCACAGCCCACAGGCUAGAAUCACCCGAUUAAAAAUACAAUAAUCAGCACCGCCAGCGAAAUGGGCGAUAGUAAGAGUGCAAACAAAUUUUAAAUAAGAUUAUUUAUGUCAUCCCGAGUCAAUAGAGUGUUGACCCCCGCCCGCAUAAAAACGGAUUACGAAUAGCCACCUACAAAAUAUACUAUUAAAAACAGAUUGCAUCUUCCACACAUAAAACCCUUCACCCUCCAGAAUUCACAGCCCCAAUUUUAAAAUCGGACAGAAUCUUCCAACCAACCCAAAAAAAUAAAGAAAAAAAAAACAAAAACCAAAAACCAAAAAAUAAACAAUAGAAGAGGAAAAAAGAAGUAAAAGAUAGAAGCACGGCCUACGCAUCUGCGCAACGUUGGUCGCUUCUCCAGGCCCUGCUUCAACUUUUGACCAGCACGGCCCAACAUGGAGUUGUUAGUUUUUUUUUUUUUUCCCCGCCUUCCAGCAGUGUAGCCGUCAAAAGCAAAGGCAUUGCAACCCAUCCACAAACUUCUCCGACAAUAAUAAGAACAAAAAAAAUUUAUAAAAGCUAAAAUGCAGAAAACUCUCACAUUUUUCAUGACGCACCUUUUUCUGAUUGUGGUACUAGUGUUCCAUCUAGACAUAUACAACACCGCUCUCUAAAUACCCAUUAAUAUCUCCCUCUUAUGGCUUGGAAGGCAAAGGUUUUUGCUUUCCUCAUCCCACCAAGCUUAGGAUCACAUCUCCUAACGACAAACAAAGAAUUCUAACCACUUCACUAGAACAAUGUACUGACCCCAACUCACCAUCUGAUGCGUAGUCAAACUAUAGACAUUGAUGCACCAUAUUCUUACAGCAGUCUGAUGAGAGGAACCGAGUACCCAAAUAAUGACGGUGUUAAACAGAGAUAUUAAAUAUCAGAGAUAGUCACAAUACUAUCUAGAGGAUUUCUGCAUUUUAGCCAUAAAUAGAACUUGAACUUUAUGAAACAAAACCAAUCAAGAAAUUGCUCCUCCUGAUUGAGAGCAUGCAGCACCUGCAUACUAAAACCUAGAAGCCCACCCCUAGAAGCCCACCCCGUGAUAAAAUCCAAAACAGAUCAAAAUCGUAACGUCCGACUUCGUUCGUUGAUUUGUGGAAAAGAAAUUCAUCAUGCGCUCUCCCAACAAAUAAGGGGAAAAAGAUGCAUUUUUUCCCACCUUCUCGAGAUAACUCUAAUGCUGCUUUAACGAUGAAACAAAUAGUACAAAAUUGAACAAGCAAAUGGGUUAGCAUAAAAGAACAUACAGGCUUCGACUUCACCGAUGUAACUUCAUUAACACCACCUCCUGCUUCCCUUGUUUCCCUUCUGACCUCCCUGUCCCUUGAAUGCUCACUCUCCCUGCAACAAAUAUAUAUAUUUUUUUAUAUUCUCAUUUUCUACCAGCUAUAUAAAAGCAUGGGCUGCCACCCAAAAAAAAAAAAAAGAGGAGAUAUUGGAAAAGAUAGGACAGUAGGCUAGUAUAAAAAAUAUAAAUUAAAUCCAGUGUUUAAGAAUCUAAAAAUUAAAUCCAGUGUUUAAAAAUCCAUGACAUGGAGACGUGUCAUGGAAAAGGUAAGUAUCAUAUCGCAAAUUAUGGUGAGGUUAUAGUAGUACAGUGGCACAAUGUGUUAAAAAAAAAAGGAGGGGGGGCCCAAAAGAGGGGGGGAAAACUAGAGCAAGAAAACUGAGCACCUACUUUCAACAUUGGAACAGCAUAAAUGAAUAAAUUUAUAUUUCAAUUCCCAAUAGGUGAGAUAACUACUCCCAUAACAACAAACUUGGGCUAAUGUAAGUCCUUAACGAAAUGCGACAAGUAACAGUGACCCGAGGAAAGAAAAAAAAAAAGAAAAAAAGUAGAAUAGACAUAAGUUGCAAAAUAAAUAUUGACGCGUAAUCAUACUAACUUGCCAAUGUAUAAAACUAUCUCAAAGUAAAUGAAGAAUGCAAGGGUCUAAAUAGCCAUAAAACUGUAUAAGAACCAUAAAUUAGGUAAGAAUAACGGCUAGAAUUUAAAUACAGAUAUUGCAUUAUUCUUGUUGUACUAAGGAGGAAAUGGAGAGUAUGUUUACCUUUCACUCAGUCGCUCAAAUUCACGCUUUCUCCUUAAAUCAGCUCUCCUGGCCUCCAUCUCUUCUCGUCGCAUAACAGGAGGCCCCAUAUUCAUGGCCAUGCUGCCAAUAGCCAACUCUGAUAGGUCCCUGAAGAAAAUAACUUCAAUCUACUUAAUCAUCCGUUGAAAGGGAAAAUGCAUAAAAAUUUCUCAAUGAACUUGAAAAAAAAAAGAGCAGAGAACGGAAAUGAACGUUACAGGUGAAAGAAAAAAAACAUCUUGGAUCAUGCAAAAGAAUGGUAAGAGUAAAGACACGGGAGAUGUACUAUAUCCAGAAGAAAAACCAUAUUCCAUGAUAAUGAAGUGAAAAUGCCAGCCUACUGUUUUCUUUUUUAAGCUUCUGGUUAACUUCCAAGGUUUCAUAAGGACAAGCACAACACAAUACCUUGGUACAGCAGGCAUCAUAUAACCCGGUGCAACAAAUGGAUCCUGUGGGAGGAUUGCCCCACCAAAAGGAACAUCAAAAGGGCCAGGUGCAUAACCCAUAAAGGGCAUGGCACCAGCCAAAGGUGCCGCCAUGUAUGGGUCCAUUCCCAUGGGCAUCCCGCCAGCCCAAUAUGGAUUGUAGCUCGAAGCAGCCAAAGGCAUCCCGCCAAAAUUUUCAACUCCCAUAUCUUGAUAAUUUCUCCAUUGCACAUCAACAGCUGCGGAUGAGGGAGAAAAUAAGAGCGAAAUAAACAAGAAUAAACUACUUUGAUGCUUGAUUAGUAUAAAUAUAUAAUACAAUCAACCAACUUGUACCAACUAAUAUAUAUAAGUGAUUAGAAAAGUUAUCUUCACGGAACGUGGAGUGAGGCACUUACCACUGCCAGGCAGGCGUGCCUUUUUCUUCUUCUUUUUCUUUCCUGAUAGACAAAGCGAGUAAGUAUGGCCAUGAGAGAAACAGUAGACAAACAAAUAAAGAUGAUAUUAUUUUGAAAAACAUAAGACCGAAUUAACUGGAAAUUUUUUUGCAAUUACAGAAAGCAGUAUCCUCAAAUCAAGUUAGUUGUCCAAAUGCCGAUACUACGCCCAACUGCUAUUCCAAUAUUUCAUCAGAAGGGUCCGUCAAAGUAAUUAAUUUUCAAAGGAGCUUGGAUAAUUUGUUCUUCAAAUUGCAGAAUUCAUGUCAUUUGCACCUUCAAUUCGUCGGAUUUCUUCACGGAUACAAUGUAAUCCAUUUUCAUAAAGUAUUCAGCUGCACUUCAAUAUGAAAGUGCUUUCCACUAACAACACUCCAAAGUCUUAAGAGAAACUGUAGCUUAGUAAGGAAAUACUCAACAAAACCUAAAAGUUCAAUAGAAAACCCUUUUUUGGCCCAUAAUUUACCAUGUUCGGGACAAACCCCAGGCAGUUAUCAACAAAGCUGUGAAGGCUAUUAGCAAGAAUUACAAAUUGAACCUUACAGGACGCUUAACCCACCUUGCUCACCAGCAAGCAACUUUUCCUGGGCAUCUUCGGGCGGUGCAGGAGCACUUUCUGGUGAUUUUGCUUCUUUUGCAUUUGUUGAUUCUGGUGUUGCAUCAGACACAUUCACAUUUAUGGCAACCUUCUUGUCUGAUGAAUUCAUAUCCAUGUUCACAGCUUUUACUCCGCUAGCACUUUCAGCUUCCGGAGAAUGCUCAACAGGAGGUCCCUUUGAUUCACCCUUAGAAGCCUUCGAUUCACCCUUAGAAGCAGCGGAAUGAGUAGGAGAGAUAACUUUGGGCAGACCGGGACGAGCUGACUCCAUAUCUACAAAUUUGAAAAAUUAUAGCCUACAUCUACUGUUUAAUUUAAUACAUUCAUAUUUAAUGGAACGAGAGGACUGAUUCAUACCCUGCACUAGCACCAAACUCCCAGCAUUUUCUGUGCUACUGGUUGUUGACUCCAAUAUGCGGCUGAUGGUUUCUCUGAGAGUUUUAUUUGGAAGAAGGUCAUCUGCUAAUAUACUUGUAGCCCCACAAACACACAUCGACUUGCUAAUAAUGUAGUCUCUAAUGCCUGGCAGAGAAAAUCACAGGAACAACUCAAAAGCAGUUUGAAGGUGUAGCAAGAGAAAAAUGGGGCAGGAAGUAGAAAGAAAAGAAGAGUAAUUAAUUAAGGUAUGUGAUGGAAACAUAUGUUCCAAACCAAAAGGAAUAAACAAAAAAUAAAAAAAUUAAAAAAAAAUAGUCGCAUAUCAGAGUAUCAUAAACAGGCACCGAACAACUGCUCAACUGCUAUGCCACCAAGCGACAAUACAAGAAAAUUAAACUCCAAGAACUAUGACACUUACAUUUGUCACAAAAGCUCCUGAAACAGCACUUGCUUGUUAAGACAGCAUCUUUCAUAACUUCUUUACACAAUGGGCAGCGCAAUUCAGGUGGAAGAUCACUGACAGGUCGAGUGGUAGGAAGACCCUCUAUUUCCUUCUCAAAAGCAGCUCUAUUAGAAACAGCAGAAGUCAUCAGAGGCUGUCAUAAUAGUUUAUUUGCAUAACAACACGCAUGAAAUUGUGAAGUUAGCAGCUUACUCGUUAGGCUUUAGAACAGCAACAGCACCACUUGGCAAAGCAUAAGAGCCAUCAGGAGUUGCCAUCAACAUUGAUUUUGGAAUGCCGGUUGGUGGCUUCACUCUUUUGAUGUCAUAAUUGGGGUCACCAUUGGUGGGGCAAUGCUGAAUGAAAUGGCCUGAAAGAGAAAAUUCAUCACGCGAAUGUAAAAUGAUACUACAUUCUGAAAACUCCCCCCAACAAGAGAGAACUGAAAGCCAACUAGGCGACAUACCAGGCACUUUGCAUCUGUGACAGACAUAGCCUGCUGGCGGUGUCUUACGUUCAAACCCACCACGGCCUUCAUUAAAUAAAAAUAGGGAUAAAAAAAUAAGAUAGGCAUGUAAUACGAAGGAAAAUGCCAAAAAAAAAAAUGGCGGAAUUGUCACACACAACUAUAAACUACAGGAACAAAACUGAUUGCUACCGCCGAAAACAAAGUGGAUGUCUGGGACUGCUACCAUGCCAUUCAAAAGGGCAGAAAAAGAUAGUACAAAUGUAAAUCAGAUUAUUUCAAACUAUCUCUGGAUACACAGUCUGAGAGCAGAAAGCCUACUAGCUAGAACACAUUAAAAGCCAAUACCCAGUUAUAGUUCCACUAAAGUGGGGUCCUGGAAGAAAAGUAUUAUGGACAGAUAAACUUAAAGAUUUUUCAUGAAAUGGCUGACCUUGAGACCGUACAGUUGCAAACCCACCAUUGAACUGGCAAUGGUCCUAUUUUUGUAGUUAAGCAGAAAAUUAGAUAAAGCAUACAAUCAAUAUAGUAAUUUGCAAAUAUUAUUACCAAAACCACGGCCAGCCACCAUCCUUCCACCCAUUCCUCUGCCGUAACCUCGGCCAGAACCAUAUGCAUCUUGAGCUUGGCUGCAGAAUAUGUUCAAAUAUGGUGAAAACACUUCAUUGUAAAGUAAUCUUUGCUCAACCACAAUAUGCUGCUGAGCAUUAUGUCCUUAAUAUUCCCACAGCAAUUACAAGAAAUAUGAUAAUAAUUCCGACUUUGAAAAGAAUACUACAAACUCAAUUAAUCUUGAUUAUCUCACCGAUUCCAGUCAAGGGCGGGUGUAUCAAUCAGAGCUUUAAUCUUGCUAUCCUCAUCAACAUGGUCAGCAGGAGAAAGAUCUACUGCUGGCUUAAUUGAUUGAGAAGGAAGAACUUCAGGAAUAGUGUACAAAUCAUUGCCAAACUCAUCCCAUUCAGAUUCUUCAGGCUGCAAAUUGUGAUAAAUUGAUAUUAUAUUGUCCGGUAUUGUCAACCCGUAUUAUUGGCCAGAAGUUCUCGUAGAACAAUGCCAACCAUAAGACUGUCUCGGCUGGCACUAAAUCAGGCUAAAAUAGAGAAUCCUUCUGAACAAUGACUCAGUUAUUGGACUAUAAAACAAACAAGUACUUCGCUUACAUAUUUCAUAGUGGAUGGAUCAGUGACCAACGUGCUACUAGGCGGAAAGGCAUCUUCCACCUUAUCCUCUAGAACUUUUGGCCUGCAUAUGCAAUGCAUAUCUCAAGAUCUAGCUACUAAACAAACUUCAUCAUCAUUAUGCAACAUCUUCUGUAUCUAACUUGAUAGCAACACCACUACAAUAACUAAACUCACUGAUGGAAUCACAAAUUAAGAAUAAAUAAGAAAGUCCUCAAAUGCUCAAAUUUCAAAGAGUGAGAUAGUACUCGUCUGGUUCAGUAACAAUAGGCUUCCGAGGCCGCCCAGGAACCCGACGAAUCAAUACUGAUGUGUUUUUGGGUAUCAUAGCAGCUUCAUCUACAUAUUCUGAAACCGGAAAGGGAACAAUACGAAGUCCAUAUGAAUGCCAAAAGAUAUUAUUAGAACCCAAAUUCCCCAAGAAAGUUAUCCAACAGAAGCAUAUAUGACAAUAUGAGUAAUAUUUUAACAUAAGGCGUGAUUCACAAGUUUAGCAACCAUCCGUUAAAUUUUAAAAGUAUAUGUAUUCUCAUGCAACUUAAAGUUGUCUCUUUUGAUUUUUUUUACAAAAGAAAAAAAGCUAAUUUCAUAUAGAAAGAACUAUAGCCAUGAAAGGAAACUAUGUGAACAAAUCACAAUAAUAUUAUCUUCAGGAAAGAACCAACCUUCAUUAGUCUGUGCAUUUGCUACCAUCAGGUCAAAAUCAGUACCCCUUCCCAAAUGCUUGGAUUCGAAAAUUCUUUCUUUCAAAUUGCCAACAGAUAUAAAUUGGCCCUCAAUGGGUAUAGAGUCGUAAUCUUUUGCACUUUUAAACUUAUAAUACACAGCCAUAUUUUUUUUUUCCUUCUUGGUUUUUCUUCUGAUCUAAAAAGCAAAAAAGACAACCACAAAAGCACAAGUAUCUGCCCUGAACGUAGCAGCAAAUGAAUUUUACGGCCUAAAAAAUUGAAAGGCCUGAUAUUAAUCUAGAAAAAACAGAAAACAACAUAGACAUGUGUACAAGUAAUUUAUCUCCUUUAAUUCCUCGGUGAUGACUCCGAUUUCUCUGCUAACUUCAACAAGAAAAUCACCGAUCAGAAUAUCAGAAAGGACUCGCCGUCAUUGGAAUCGAUAGGCCUUCACGAUUGGAAUUGGGAUAAAGGUAUAAGAAGCAAGGCUCAGAUCCACAGCAAAAUCCCUCCAGGAAAGCUACGAUCUCGCUCGCCCCGAUGCGAUUCCGAUCAGCCGCAGAAAGGAGGCGAACUUCGCAAAGAAAUCCCCAAAUUACGAAAAGAAACUGGGGAAACGCCACAGCAUCGGAUGCUCGUGUCACCAAAUCGCCAUCGCCGAGAACCUCCACGAAGCCGAGCGUCGCCGCGGCAACACAAACCCCAAAAAGCUAAGCCGAUCACGAAAUCGAGAGAUCAGUACCAGAAGAGAGGCUUUUGGGGAUCGCAAAUUCCCAGAUCGAGCAGCGACGAAACCCUAGACGAUCCGCCGUAGAGGAAUCCGCAGAGAAACCGCCGAGACGAAUCGAUUCGAACCCUCGAAUUGGAUCGAGAGUGAGGAGGAGAGGAUAAGGAAUCGGAAGGGGCGAAAAGGGUUAAUUAGGGUUUGCCCCUCGGAAGAGCGAAAGAGAGAUAUGAAGCGUUUGGACAGAGAAGGUACUCGGUUUCUCCUCUUCUCUGUGAAGAUGGUGGGGCAAAAGAGGAAAGCGCUAAUAAUGAAGUAUUUAUCGAUUUAUUUAUUAAUAUAUAUUUGCAUGCAAGGAAAUAUCCAGUGAAUUGCAACAGAUAUAUCUUUUGAGGUCCAAAUAUGGCCCAUAAUAACUUUAGCUAAUGAAGUGAACUAAUCCCUAUGGGCCUGAUAAGUUAAUCAGCCCAAAUUCGCUCAGGCUCUCCAUGGGCUUUCCUGUGUUCAGAGAAAACCCCCCGCAAAAGAAAAAAAAAAGUCCGUUCGUUUUGAUCUCGCAGAAUUUGAUGGCCUAUCAACCGUUCGAUGAGCGAGCUCCAAUCACGGACCGUAACAAUUUAGCAGGGGCCCGUGGAUCCGACGGCUGAGAGAAACGGCCGGUGGCUCCCCGCUUCGUCGCCGGAAACAAUGGCGACGCUCGCUAGGGUUCUAUCGGAGGCGACGCGGGGUUUGCGGCGUCGAAUCCACACACAUCCUCCGCCACCGCCGCACGCCGCCGCCGCUACCCCUCUUCUCGAGAGGUUGAUGAGGGAGACGGAUUCGGGCGUUAAGAUCGCGCUGGAGGAGGAGGAGGAGAGGGAGAGGGAGAGCUCCAUGGCCACGUGCCAAGCCUCCUUUUGGGAACCCCUCGCUGUAGCUCUACGCUCUUCCGCUCCGAAAAAGGCCCAAUUGGUAAUGAGAAACACAAACUCUUGGUCUUAGAUAGCUCGUUGAUGGAGAAAGAGAGAGGUUAGGGUUUUGAACCUACGAGAGUAGCGAAUCCCCUGGUUAUAGUUGGAGAAUCUGUAUCCGUAUCAAUUUUUGAUAGUCUUUGAAGUUUUUAGAACUAAUCUAGUGUUCAAAAUGUGGGCUUUUUGAUAGUUCUUAACUAGGGUUGUAAUAUCAUGGCUGCAUUUGAUUGAACUACUUUAGAUUCCUACUGUUUGAUUCCAUUUCAUUUCGUGAUGGUCAAAACAUUAAUCAGGUCUUGGAAUGGAAGUUAGAGAAACUACUGAAGGAACGUGUUCUCGAGCGUGAACCCUAUCUAAAGCUAAUUUCUUUGUGCGAGUUGUCUAGCAAUGUUCAGUUUGCGCUGAGGGUCUUCACAUCAAUGGAGGCCCAAGGAAUUCAACCAAAUACUUCCAUUUUCAAUGCUCUACUUACUCUUUACUUGUCGACGGGGGAUAUAGUUACUGCGUUGAGCUUAUUCGAGAUAAUGGACGGAAAAGAUGAGUCAAAACCUGACUUCUCCACCUAUAGUGCCUUUAUCUCCGCAUUUUCGAGGCUCGGGGAUGCUCAUAGUAUGGUGAGCUGGUACUUUGCUACAAAGAAAGCUGGGUUCUCUCCAACUACUCGGACCUAUGAGUACCUAAUCACGGGGCUGACCAAAUUGGGGAAAUUUGAAGAUGCUGAUCGGUUUUUCAAUGAAAUGCUAUCGGUAGAAAUCUUACCGAAUUUAAGCAUAUUGGAAGCCAAGAUUGAAGGGCUGUGUAAAAGGAAGGAUGUGGGCGGAGUUAGAGAGUUUCUGAAGUUCGUCAUUAACAGAGGUUGGGAACUAAAUGAGGCCAUGGCUGAGAAGCUUUCGAGGUUCUACAUGGACUUGGGAUUAGUUGAGGAAAUGGAACAGCUACUUGGUCUCAUCAGGAAAGGCACGUGUUUUGAUGUUUCAAUGCGAUUGCACUGUGGAGUUGCUCGAUUGUAUGCAAACUCUGAUCAGUUGGAUCAAAUGGAGUUUGCUGUAAUGCGGAUGUUGGAGGGAGGAAUGAUCUUUGGAUGCCCUGAAGAUAUUGAGGCAGUUAUCUGUUCUUAUUUUCGUAGGAAGGCUUUCAAUAGGUUGGAUUUGUUCUUGGACCGGAUACGUAAUUCGUACGAACUUACAAGAUCUACUUAUGAUCUGUUGGUUGCUGGGUAUCGGAAGUUUGAAUUGUAUGAGAGGCUUGAUUUGAUCAUAAAAGAUAUGAAGAUAGCAGGGUUUGCAUAAUUUUUUCGCAUCUAAAGAAGUCUCACUAAACGAAUUCUGGAAGAAAUUGGCACCCUGUUGUAUGAAUAUUGUUUGUGGCCUCUGAUUGUUGCCUUUAAUGUAUAUCCUUUUUCUCUUGGUGUUGUAUAUAUCAUUCUAUUUGGAUUGGACGUACAUAAUCAAGAAAAAUGUUGUCUAAAAUUUUGAAAAUACAUUGUAAGUGAUCCUUGACACUGAGCUCUUGAAAAUCGUUUAUUUUAUCUGUUUUCUUUUAUUGUGCUGCGACGGUAAAGGUUAAUGUGGUUUAUUUAGGCGAGAUCUAACUGAGUAAAAGAAUAGUGGAUUGUUCAAAUAAGCUGUGCAGGAUAGCAAAGCAAUACGGCAUAGUGCAAUGCCAAGCAAUAUGCCUGUGAAACCUGAAAAAGAACUAGAUUUUGCUCCCUGAGAAUUGAAGAAAUGCUCAAAGCAUAGAAUUGCAGUAAUUGAACUGCAUAACUCAAUUUAACACUGAUCGCUUGUUCGGAAAGAUAAGAACCUGUAUGUGCCUGAAAUGUAAUGGUAGUAAUUGCAAUGAACUUUGAUCCAAUUUUCUGACUAUUGAGACGUACUCAGAUUGUGAGCCCAACAUAUUGAAGGAACUCUUGAAAGUAAUUUUGUGGAGAAGUUUUAGAGUUUAGCUCAUGGGGACCUCACGGCUAAUUCUAUCUAGAAUUAUGUUAAUUAUUAUUUAUGUGUUGUUCUCCCUGCGGUGAUUCUUGCAGUAGGUAAAAAGACGGCUUUGGUGUAUAUAUAUGUAGAUAUAUAUAGUCAUGGAAAGCCAACUAUUUUUUAUCUGGGAAAUUUUGCCCUCUACGACUUCCUAAUGCCUGACGAUGAAUGCUGAUAUAUCAUAUAUAUACUGAGAACUUUCGGUUAUGAAUCAGAUGUGUGAUUUUUACUAUUCUACGUCUCUAGAGAGACUUAUUAAUAUCUGUGACUGUACUAACGCCCGGCAGUUUCUGAUAUAUGUAGCUCUUAAUGAUGGUAGCUUUUUUGUCCCAUCUAAACAGUUUAUUAUAUAACUCUGUUAAUGUAUACAGCUGUUAUCAAAUGUCAAAUUCAUACGUAUGGUCGGAGGGAAAUAACAGGUGGUUAGUUCAGGGGUCUAAUUUAUUAUUAUUGUUUGUUAAAUCUAUGUUUACUAAACACAAUUAGCUUUUCUUUCAAAGAAAAAUAAAAGAUAUGUUAGUUGUGGUUGUUGAUACAGUUGCGCCCGCAGAAUAGCCAUCUACAAGUUGACUUUUCUGUUGGCCACUCGAGUAGAGUGAUAAAUCAAGAUUCAUUAGAGCAAUCGCGCCUGAGGAAGUCUCCAAUAUUUCUUACCUAGCUAGCACCCUGAUAAUCCAUUUUCACCCAAUCAAUCAUUCAAAAAUAACACAAUUGCUUUCGUUUCAACGUAGAAAGAAAACCUCUAGAUUAAUCUAAACAGAACGGUUAAACACUAAAUAAGUAGGUAUUCAAGAUGCACCGGAAGUAGAAUACGAUUCUUCUCUAACUUCAGUUUUACCUGCAUAGUAAAAUAACAAGAAGAUUGAAGGUAACAUAAUAUAUGAUAAUACUCGAAAAGGGAUUAUGAUUAUUUCCAGUUUCCACCACAGUACAUAAGCACCGACUUGCAAUAAAAUAAGACGUUGUUCACUCUAGAUAUAUCAAGGAUGGUCAGCUAGAAAACAACAUUGUAGAUUUAAAUUGUUUCUGAAACUUGCAAUUCCCAAAUAUAUCGUACUUAUCAGGUAUUUCAGAUUUUUCUUUCGUAGAUAGGCAAUGAGAAGAAACAGCAAAAGAACACCAAAAACCCUUCAGGAGGGAGAGGGGCAAAAGAAGGCAAAGCAUGAAACAAAGAAAUCUCAAGCUACCAAACAAGGAGGAAAUAUUGAAAUGGUAUGCUUAAGUCACUUUCAUCUACAACACAAAGCAAAGAACAAAUUGAUGCUGCCAUGGUAAGUGGUAACACUUUCACAGAACCGAUUGGCUGAACUUACUACUGUGGGGAAGCAUGAUCACACAUUUUUAUGUGUAGAACAGGUUAAGGAAACAGGAGAAAAUUAAAUCGACAGGAAAUCAUAAAUAAGAGAAGUGGAGAAGCAAUUUGACAAAAAAUGAGAACUUGUAGUGACAGGAGGAAAACAAAAAAUCAUCAUGGUAAAAGAUAAAUAGCCAAAUUACUUAUAAUCUGCUGGUUGUCCAACUUGAUUAGUAAUGAAAUUUUGAGAUCUACAAUUUGUCAAAAAGGAGGCAAAAACUUGAACCGGAUUAAAUGGUUAAGGAACUAAGCAUUGGAAGAACUGAGGACUUCUUCCGCAUUAGUACUGGACGCAAGGCUUACAAAGCAAGAAAAUGAAUAAACAACAAAAUCUUUAUCGCGACCGAAUAAUAAAGAUCAAAUUUAAGAGUAAAAAGAAAUACAGUUCAACACACAAGAUUCUUUAUGGCAUCAUAUACUUGCACUUUAGCAUAAAUGACACAGAGAAUACGAAGGAAAAUUUUCUCAAAGUACUUGUUUAUUGUAAUAUAACAAAAGAUUUAAAUGAUUCCUUUUUGGCUGACAUGAGAAAUAACUUAUAAAAUAUACAGGUUCACAAGUUACCUCAAGGUCGAACAGUAGCAUAGAAAUAUAGCAACUUUAAUACAGGGGAAAAAGAAAAAACAAUUUGUCUUUUAAAAGUUAAGUGUAAGUGCAGCCGAUGCCUGUUUAAUUUAGUCCAUACAUAGCAUUAGGAAAACCAAGCUUGUAAAGUGAAAAAAAUUAGAUAACUAUGAGGGGAAAAGAGAAAAAAUAUCGAUCAUUUAAAUUAUUGAGAAGAACUCGAAAAAAAAUAAAAAUCGAGAAGAAGAGUUAUCUCACUGCCGAAUGAAGUGGAGCAGUUAGCAACUUUAUGGUGACGCAUCACAGGAAAUUACACAGAAAAUGAAAUUGUUGAAAUUUGAAUGAAAAUCAGUUCGCGAGCCAAAAGAUCCCUUUUUCGACGAUAAAGAGUUCGCAAGAGAUCAAAAGAUACAAACUUUAUUGACAGAGAGGAGCAUUACUGUACAAUUACGAGCUGGUGAGUCCCUCUGUUGCAUCCGAUCCCCCUUUCCUCGUCCUCAUCUCCCCACCAACCCUCCCGCUCUUCUCCUCCUCCUCCGUCCUCAUCGAUAUCGGACUCCUCCGAUCCGGACCCCUUCGGCACCGUCACCACCAGCUCCCCGCCGUCGUAGGAGGCAGCGGCAAGCGCCGGCCUCGUCGACGGGGGGAGCCGGAACCGCCACCGGUCGAGCUCGAGGUCGUCGAGAACCUCCUCGGCAGCGGCGGCGGGGGGCCUGAUCACAACCUUAAUGACGCCGGGGUGGAUCCGGAUCGCGUGGGCGCGGACUCCGCCGUCGAGACCCACUGCGGCGGCGGCGACGACGAAGCGGAACCCUUCGGGGUCCUCGUGGACGGCGACGUCGGCGUCGGCGGCGAGGGGGAGUUCAAGGACCUUGCUGAAGAUGUGGGGGAGGCGACGGAGGUGCUUCCGCCUCCCUCCGGUAGCCGCCGCCGAGCGGACCGGGUGGACCCUCAUCCCUCUCCUCUCCCCCAAAUCCAAAACCCUAGAAGCCCCCUGUAGAUAUGACGUAUAAAGCCAAUUAGAUUGCAAAGCGAUCGAAAAUAUGGCAGAAAAUAAGCACAGAUUCUCCAAAUCGGAACUUGGUUGAUGAGAUCGUACAAUUGGAAUCAGAGAGGAAAAGGGAGGAGAAAAACUCUUAUCCCAAACUUCGCAGGCGAUUGGAAAUGGCGAGAACUUGACAAUAAUAAGAAUCCAAACCUGACUGUGAAGGAUAUGGAGGUGCUGAAGCGACGGAGACAAGAUAGCUAUGGAGCCCAUGGCUUACUAGAGAAAUGAGGAAGGGGACGUAUACUGGUUUUUUUUUUCUUUUUUCUUUUUUUUUCGGAACACGUCAGAUACUGAGAUACCAUGUUUAUAGUUUGCAUUUUCUCACUUUAAUAUUUUAUUAUAAUUAUAAUUUUUAAAAUAUAUCAUUUUCAUAUUCUAUAAUUUUUUUAUUAUUUUUUUUAUUAAUUUUUUUAUUAAAUCAGUAAUAAAGUUAAAAAUAAAAUGAAUAUUUGAUAAACUAUAAGUAAGGUAUUUAAAAUUUUUUGUCUAUAAUUUAGCAAAAAGUUAACGAAGGGGCCGUCGAAAAAAAUAAAAUAAAAUCACUGGAUAAUAAAUUGAUACACUUUAAAUCACAGAAUACUAAAGUGAGAAAAUGCAAAACUAUAGGGUGGUAUUUGAAGUUUACUCUUGUUUUAAGGAUAAACUUUAAAUACCACCACGUGGUUUCGUACUUUCUCAUUUUAGUACCCUAUGGUUUAAAGUGUAUUAAGUUAGUAUUCUAUGGUUUCAUUUUUAUCUAUUCGUCAGCUUUUCUGUUAAUAUUUUAUUAAAUUAUAUACAAAAAAACUUCAGAUACUCCAUCUAGAUUUAUCGAAUAUUCAUUUCAGUAUUCUUUAGUUUUAACUUUGUCAUGAAUUUAACUAAAAAAAAUUAAUGGAAUCAAUAAUAAAAAUAUAAAAAUAAAAUCGCAGGAUACUAAAUUGAUACACUUUAAACCACACAGUAUUAAAGUUAGAAAGUGUGAAACCACGAGGGUGGUAUUUAAAAAUUUUUCUUUUUUUUUUAAACUAAUGAUAUGAUAUUCGUAUAUAAUUAUUGUACAUAUAUUAUUACACACAUAUUUUCUUUUAUUUUUCAACAACUGUAAAUUCCUACUAAAGUUUUAGCAACUGUAAAUUUCUAUACAAUUAGUUUGGAUAUAAGUAAAUACUACUUAUUUCAGAAAGAAAUAUAAAUUUCGAAAUAAAUAGAAAUUAGACAAAACUUGCAGUUUGGAAAAAAUUAGGUUGUUCUUGAGAAUAAGCUAAAUAGUAUUUAAAUGAUUAGAUUGGAACAAAAAAAAAUGAGAAUUAUAAAUUUAAAUUAAAAAUAUUUUAUCUAAUUAACUGGCAUCAAAGUAUUAAUUAAAAAUAAAUUAAUAAAUUUAUUAGCUAUGAAUAUUUUAUAAAAUAAUAAAAAUAUAUUAAAUUAAAUAUAUUUUUUAUUUAGUUGAGAAAUUAUUUAGUUGGAUAAUUAGUAAAAAAAUUAAUUAGAUUAAUAAAAAUAUUAAUUGUUUAUCGAUAUCAAUAUAAAUAUUAGUUUAUUGAUAAAUACAUUAAAUUAUUAUUAAUUAAUUAGAUAAUUAAUUAAUUAUAAAUAAAUAAAUAAAUAUUUUAUUAUUUGAACAAUAAAUAAUGAUUUAAAUAUAUUAAUUAGAUUAAUUUAAUAAUUUAAUAUUAUAAUUAAAAUUAAAUUUAGACUUUAAUUAGUUUUGUUUCCACUUGAGAAUAAACUUGUUCCAGCAAAAAAAUGAUGGAACAGUAGUUCUAAACUUAUACCGAAUUAUAUCAGCUUAUUUCAGAAAUUCAAAAAUUACUAUUUUUUGAGUAUAAAAAUUUAUAUUUGAAAAAUAAAAGAGGAAACAAGAUUUUUUUUUUUUGAGAUAAAUAGGUAACAUGUUAUCCGUUUCAUUUAUUUUAUUUAAAAAUAAAUUUAUUUGAAAAUAUCAAUCAAUUAAAAUUCAAAUUUAAAAUUUAGAUAUUAAUUACUAAAUCUUUUGUCACUAGUGCUAGUGCUGGGAGGGCCAGCAAAUGAUGCAAGAUUUAGGGGUGAGAAAGGAAUG